UUUCUUGCUUGUUGCUAACACUAGUUGUAUUUUUUGCGUGUUUCCCGUUUAGAUUCUGAAUGAAAAUGGAUCAACGACUGAAUUUUCUCGUUCGUCUUGAUAGUCUGAGGAUGAUGGCAUGGGCGGGAGGAGGAAGAAGGGCAUCAAGGAUAAGAUCAAGGAGAAGCUUCCGGGUGGCCACGGUGACCAGCAGCAGACCGCUGGCACCUACGGGCAGCAGGGUCACACAGGAAUGACCGGCACUGGGGCGCAUGGCACCACGGCCACUGGCGGCACCUACGGGCAGCAGGGAGACACCGGAAUGACCGGCACGGGGACGCACGGCACCGACGGCGCCGGCGAGAAGAAAGGCAUCAUGGACAAGAUCAAGGAGAAGCUGCCCGGACAGCACUGAGCCCGUCCCACGGCAGCUACUUGAGAGUUGAGGUGCCGAUCUGGCCACCUUUGCAGAAUAAUAAGAUGGAGAUGCAGUAAAACAUCCCGAAAUAAAGUGAGCUAGCUCACUUGUAAUAUCUGAGUUCUGAGUUUGCUGCACUAGAAUUUGGGUUGCUUGUAUGUGCCCGGGACGUUUUGUACUCUGUACUUCGAUGUGUGAUUUUUUUUUGGUUUCACUGUGUAUGUAUGGGGAUGUGUAUCGUGGUAUAAUACAAUAUAUUUUGCCCUUUUACUUGAGCAACUUUUGAAAAUUUCUAGGCAAUUUUUGGAAGUAUCGAAAAAUAAGGCACACCAAAAAUACACAUACAGAUCUUGAAUUUACCAACUCAGAGGAUGUCGCAUGCGCUGUGGAUCGUUAAUGAACGGCACUGUCGGAGAUCAACAAAACAGAGUGCAUAGCGACCAAAGGAAAAUCCGCACCACCGAAAGUUUUCUUCUAUGCUCGAGCUCACAUGCACACUGAUGAAUAGUAAAAUAUAAAUAAAUAAAUUUUAAAGAUCUGAUUUUUUUUACACACACCGAUGAAUGUUUUACCUACCUGCAAAGUUUUCAUAAUGGAUUGAUAUUUGUGGUGGUCAGGGCAAUAAAAACAAAAUCAAUGCUUCAAAAUUAGUCUUUUUGGAGCAUUUGAUUUUUCGUUUUGCCCAGAGCUCCACGAAAGUGAUUUCAUCACGAAAGUUUGCAUGCAUGCAAAACAGUUAUUAGUGUUUAUUAAAAACGGACAUAAUUGUUUGAUUUUUCUUUGAUUUUACUGUUCAUAUGGGUGCAUAUAAGCUCGGGAUUAGAAGCUCCAUGUUCACCCACCAUUUAAUUGAUUCAUACACAAACUUUUUUUCUCGAAUACAUAUGAAUGUGCGUGCUUUAUAUUAAAGAAGAGAGGGGGGCGGCAAAGAGCCCUUCCACGACGGGUUUAGUAGUUCUUACAUACAGCCAACUCCAUGCCCACUCCACGUCUAAGUCAAUCUAUUGCUAACUCCUCGCGUCACUACCCACCGUUAGAGCUACUAAGAAACUAUCAAUGUCCGUCUUGAUAAUGCCCGCCGUCUUCCAUGAUCUACGCUCAACCUCUAUUCUAUGAAUUAUGCUUUUCAAAGACAGUGUGGCGCCGUCGAAUACGAUCGCAUUGCGGUGCUUCCAUUCAAGAACAACAAAACGAUCCACUAAUCUCUAGAUUAAGAGUAUGCAUCCCCAUAAGUUCAUCCACCAUGCAACUCAACAAAAAGCUCGUCUCGCUACACCUCCAACAUGCAACAACGUGCAUCACUGUCCACCCUAUACGCCUCAGAAGCGACAGUGCUCCAACACCCCUUGAGAUAUUAUGUGCCCCGAUCUACAUCCUCCCUCCCCGAGGCGCUCCCGCGGGCGCCCCGGGAGAAAACCCUAGCGCCGCCCCCUUCGCCUCAACCUCCUCCCUCGCUGCCGCCUGGGGCGUCACCGGCGAAAGGCCGUGUGGCGUUGGUCGCGGCGGGGCGGCUCUCUCCCGCACGUAGUUGGGACUCCGCGGGGCGUUCCCAUCUGCCUGGUGGUGCCGGGCGUCGGGCCGGCCCUGCCUCCGCUCCUUCUCCCCUCCCAGCAUCCCUCGCUGGCGCCGCCUCAUCCCCUCUGUCGGUGUCAAAACCGGCGGAUCUCGGGUAGGGGGUCCCGAACUGUGCGUCUAAGGUCGAUUGUUUGCAGGAGACGGGGGACACGAUGUUUACCCAGGUUCAGGCCCUCUUUAUGGAGGUAAUACCCUACUUCCUGCUUGAUUGAUCUUGAUGAAUAUGAGUAUUACAAGAGUUGAUCUACCACGAGAUCAUAAUGGCUAAACCCUAGAAGUCUAGCCUGGAUGACUAAGGUAAUGAGUCUCCUCCUAUCCGGACUACGCUCUCCGGUUUAUAUAGGCACCGGAGAGAUCUAGGGUUACAUGGAGUCGGUUACAUAGAAAGGAAUCUACACGAUUGAUCGCCACGCUUGCCUUCCACGCCAAGGAGAGUCCUCUCCGGACACGGGAGCCGUCUUCGGUCUUCGUAUCUGUACAGCCCAUCAGUCCGGCCCACGGAUAACAGGCCGGACGCCCGAGGACCCCUUAGUCCAGGACUCCCUCAGUAGCCCCUGAACCUGACUUCAAUGACGAGGAGUCCGGCGCGCAGAUCUGUCUUCGGCAUUGCAAGGCGGAUUCCCUUCUAUCCGGACCCCAAGGUAAUCUUCAGAUGUAACAAUUGUAUCCGGACCUGUAUACAUAACUGCAGAGGAUAUAUAAUAUUUCACGAGUCCGAUCCGCUGGCAACUUUUCGGUAAUAUGACGUCACACCUGCUCGGCCAUUAUUUUCGAAUCGUUCUGGCUGGCCCGCCGUCCCACGUUUCGAGACGUGGUUCUAUUGGCACGUCUUAUCCAAGCGGCGAUCAUGUCCUUCUUUUAAGGGAUUCUUAUCAACCCAGACAUGGGUAAUCCAACCGUCACUUGGGCACAACUGCUUGGGAAUGGGCAAGUUUUGAGGCCCAGGAGGAGACGUUCGAUAUUUGCGGUCUUUAUAUAGGGGUACAGACCCGUCUUUUUCUUUCACGCUUGCUUCUCCCUCAACCCCCGCUACCUCGAGUUCCAACACCCGGGUUUCAAUCUCCACAAGCUCCAAUCAUGUCCGGAUCCAACCGUCAAGGCCGGUGGGUGGCUUCUUCUAUCACAGAGGGAGAGAUCGCAAAGCUUCGGGCGGCGAGGUACUUGACCGCGGAAAUCCUUCAUCGGCUUCCUGCAGAGGGGUAGGUUAUUCCCACUCCCAGAUCCAGCGAGAGGGUCGUGUUCGUGUCCCACUUCCUACGCGGGUUAGGGUUUGCACUUAACCCCUUUGUCCGGGGGCUCAUGUUCUAUUAUGGGCUAGAUUUUCAUGAUCUGGCCCCGCACUCAAGCCUUCCUCCGAACUCCUCCGCACUUCGGCUUGUGGCUCAAGACCUUCAAGGUGGAGCCGCUAGUGACAGAGGGGGAGCAAGUAGAGUGCGGCGGCGCCGUAGUGAGCAAGCUUGCUAGCGCUGUUUGGCUGAAAGGAUCCUUUGGCAAGUCUUCAGAUCUGUGGCAGCAGGGGUGGUUCUACAUCAUCGAACCCCGUGGCUCCAAGUGGGCAGCUGCACCCGCAUUUCGAUCCAGCCCCCCAACUCAGCCUGCGUCGUGGAUCAAUAAGGGGUUGGACUGGAGAGCAACGGACGAGGUGCAGACUUUGCAAAGUCGCAUCCGAAACCUCAUUGAGAGGGACAUCAACAUCGUCAACGUUGUCCAAGUAAUGCUGGACCGCCGGACCCUACCGUUCCCGUGAGGGCCACUCCGCACGUGGGAGUUCAAUCCGGAAGGGCCGCGGACUCUUCAGCACUUCUUCGGCACUACACACGAAGGAAUGUGGAGAUUAUUCUUCGGGAAACGAAAACAAUGGCCGGACACCACCGAAGAUAUCGGCCUUGACUGCAGCCAUCCGGACACCCCGGUAAGUACCCGUUUGCCGAACACCUCAUAAUCAGAUACCCAUUGAUAAGAUACUGACUGAAUCAUCCUUUUUCAGGGCUGGAUAAAGAAAGUGGAACGGAUUAGGUGUCCGGCUCCCCUUCCCGAAGACUCAGCUACUCCUAUGUUAACAAGGAUGCUGGCCUCGACACCGUAUCAGGCGCCGGCGAGGGGGGUAAAGAGGAGAGUAAAAAGACCCAAGAUGACCUUCGUUCCGGAGGUAAGUCAGAUACUGAGUCGGGAGAAAUCGACCUUUCCUCGCCUGAAGACAGAGGCAAAAAAGGACCCAGCAUCCCUUCUCCGAGUAGGAGGAAAAGGGCCGCCUCUGAAGAUUGGGAGGGGCGGUCUCCCAAGAAGGGCAAGAUGCCACCGUUGAGAGGCUUGGGCUUGGAAAGCGACGCCGUCGAACGGCUCCAACAAGGGGACAAGCCCUCGGCCAAACCGUAAGUGAAUCCGGAGUACUUUGACAAUGUCCCGCUCCGUCGCUAUCGCCGAAGAUAUACGUGACGCGUUCAUGCAUUUUUACAGGUCGGCACAGAGUUUUUCUGGGCAAUCCUCUUCUUCGGGAAGUCUCCUCCCAGAGAUGAUGGAGAGCGAGAUGCCUCCUCCAACCUCCUCUCCCAGUAAGGCGGAUGACUCUGAAGUGUCAUCGCGGAGGGUCCCGGUUAGUCAACAGGUUACACCGGGGAAAGAAGAGGUAGUAACCGAAGGUGGAUCUCCAACCAUCCGGGAUUCUGGGGCUGAUGAUAACAAAGGCCCCGGACUGUCUGGCCCGCAGCCGACAGCGAUUCUGGAGAUGGGUGAACAGAUUCCUUCAAAGGAUGGUCGGGCUUCUAGAGCGGCUUCCGAAGACCCAGAGACUCCGGAUAUAUUGCGGGACAUGUUGGGAAAAGCAUCUGUCUCGGGAGAGCAGCGUACCUUGAUGGGUACAUUGGUUGAGAAGACUUUGUCCGCGAAGAGCGGUUUGAAUGAAGCCUUCAUGAGCCUGCUAAAAGGCUUCGAGGUUUGUGAUCAAAUAUGUUUUAUUUGCAAAGAUGUGCCUGUGUAUAGGUAGUAGCCCCUGAGACUCGGGUUGGCUUCCACUGGGAAGCAACCGGAGGAUCAAAAAAAUGAUCGUUUGAGGACUAACCUGAUAAACUUGAACACAGGCUGCUUCCCCUUUGGCCACUUCCUGGACUACGGAGAUUGUCGAGCUGCAGCGGAAGCUUGAUGUGGCAGGGGAUGAUCUUGCAUUAAUCAAUAUGCGUCUUGACGAGUCGCAAGGUAUGUACUCGGGGUAAUCCCCAGACAUUUUAUGUGGUAUAAGCAUGAUGCUGAAAUCUGAAUGCUGGAAUAUGUGUGGCUGCAGAUGGUGCUGCCGCCAUUGAAGUUCUUCGAGCGGAGCUGGCUCGGGCCAAGGAGCAGGCCCGACAUAGCGAUGCUGCUGCCGAAAAGGCAUCGGCUGAGCUAAAAGCUGAACAAGCUGCACGGCGCCAAGAUGAGGAGAAGAUAUCCACGGUGGCGCUCGAACUGGAAAAUGCUACUGGCCGCUGCAAAUUUCUGGAGAAGGAGAAUAAAGCCUUAACGGCUGAACUGGACAAGGCCUUACUAGAGGAGAGGGAAGCUCAAUCGGAAUCCAGAGCAACCCUUGAGGAUGUUCGGCAGGCUAGGGAGAUUGUGGCUGGGAAGCCCUUUCUGCUGCAAACUAAGUUCGGUGACCCGAACUAUGCUCAGCUUAACGAAGUGUCGAGUUCUCCGGACGAGUUCUUGAACUUGUCGAAGAGUUCUUCCGAUGCGGCGCAAUAUUACCAAGUGCGAGAUGGGUAUGCAACGGAGAAGCUUUUUUGGUCGCAGUUUGGCACAUCAAAGCGCCCCCUGUUGCUCAAUGAACAGAUGUCCCAAUGGGCCGAACUUCAUCGGAUAUCCAGUGCUGCCAUGAAGGAUGUCAUAAUCCGGUUGUGGCCAACUGAGCCUAUUCCGGAUAGCUACUUUGGUUUGGUACAAAGACUUGUUGACGCGGUGCUGCAAAUCGAUGCUGUGAAGCGGUCAGCGUGCAUUGAAGGUGCACGGAUGGCCUUUGCCCGAGUCAAGACAUUCUGAGGAAAGAUGAAGGCCAUCGAUGUUGCGGCGAAGAGUCCACCCAAAGGCAAGGACCGUCCAGAACCGGAACAUUAUUUUGAAGAUGUCCUAGAGGCCGCCCGCUUCAUAGAGGGCCAGUGCUCGAAAGACAUAAUAUUUGAGUGAGGUGUAUCAAAAUUGUAGAAGAAAAAUUUAUAGUUAAUCUAUUUUCAUGUUUUGCUCGAAAGCUUGAAUUCCUCGUGUGUGGCCGUGUUAAUAUAAUCUGAAAGUUUUCCAGUCGUCAGCUUCAGCCCCCUUGUAGGAAGUACGGGGGUGUUCGGAAAGCAUUUAAUCACUCUUUAUCCAACGUCUUGGUCCAUGAAGGAGGUGAUAAUGCGGCGAACUAGGCAAUCGGACUAUAAGGCAUUAACACUUUCACUUAGCCAUAGGAGUUUUAUGGUGGGACUACGACAUAGCCCCUCGUAUGUAUGCGGCGUAUGAUGCCUUACAUAUUUGAUCUGAAACAGAUCCCUCGUGUGACAGGAGAAUCGCUAAGGAUUCCAAGAAGUCAUCAAGUGGUUGACCAGCUCUCGCCGCAUCAUGACAGUCAGUUUUCGGCUUUCUCUACCGAGGUCCUCAUCCGGUUUAGACCAGGGCACAAUCGCAGUAGUUCUCCCUUUACUACCCUAGCCGAUAGAGCGGAACGUAGGGUAGCAAGCACAGGAGCCGGGCAACCCAACUAUUGACCCAAGACAAUGAUUCGGAGCUGAUGCAUAUAAGGCCAAACUUGCGACGCCGAAGUACACUAUAGAGUUGUUCAGACUUUUACUGGCGACUCAUUUGUUCCCACACCGAGCCCCUGGCAUGUUAUGCCAAGGUAUUUCUGUGAAAUAACUGUAGGAGCCAUAUUUGUUGGAGAAACAACACGGAUUAUUAGUUCGGAUACUGUUUACUAGGACUGAGCGAUAUGCCAAUGAUCACUUAUGAUAUAUAAAAGCCAUCCUCCCGGCUAUUUGACAUGCUCGGGGUUGGAGGCGGAGGAACGGGCAUAGUACAGGCUCAAAAAAUAGAGAAUGCGGUCUACAAAAAGUUAUUUUGGACCUCCUGUCGCACGUCUGCGCCGCCAGUCGUCGGUGGGGGGAAUCCUUUAUGGAAAUGGCCCCGUAGGUGAGUGUACGGAUCCGGACUCCGAUAGAGCCAGUUUCAGAUGUUUAUCCUGUUCGUCACCUAUUUUUAAAAGGAUAGCGAAGGAAGAAAUAAAAAGAUAAUAAAUAAUAAUAAUAAAAAGUUAUUGGAGUGCUUGCAGGUUUGUCCGUAUUGUGAUUCCGCCAAUACCCAUGGUAUCUUGAUCCCCGGGUAUGCGUAGUACAAACUUUGUAGGUGCACGGAGUGGGCCGCGGAAGCCGGGUUGCUAUUUCCGUUCUAGGAGUAGUUGAUCCCCGGGUGGAGAUUGCUUCUAACCCCCGGAGUUUCGUUGGCGAACCUUUCCGUCAUUCCUGUCGCCUGGCGGCUUCUUCCCCUUCUGCUCGGCGUUGAGCUUGCCGGCUUGUUUGAAGACCCUGCAGUUUCUGUUAGUAUGAUUAGCUGGUUUGUCGGGGUGGCCGUGAAUCUGGCAGGGUCGGUCCAAUAUCAUGUCCAGGUUGGAUGGUUCGUCUUGUUUCGCCUUGAAUGGCUUCUCCCGUUGACCGGGCUUGGGAUUGCUGAAUCCGGCGUUGACCGCCGUGUCGCGUGAUCUUUCAUUAUCAUUGCGACUGUUUUUUUGCUUCGUCGUGGCUUGCCGUUGCCGUCUCGGAUUUCGGAAAUGCCCGGGUCGUUGGCGCUAUCGCUUCUACGAGCGAGUGAUACGUCUCCAACGUAUCUAUAAUUUUUUAUUGUUCCAUGCUAUAUUAUAUUCUGUUUUGGACAUUAUUGAGCUUUAUUAUACACUUUUAUAUUAUUUUUGGGACUAACCUAUUAACCGGAGGCCCAGCCUAGAAUUGUUGUUUUUUUGCCUAUUUCAGAGUUUCACAGAAAAAGAAUAUCAAACGGAGUCCAAACAGAAUGAAACCUUCGGGAACGUGAUUUUCGGAACGAACGUGAUCCAGAGGACUUGGACCCUACGUCAAGACAUCAACCAGGAAGGCACGAUGUAGGGGGGCACGCCUACCCCCUCAGGGCGCGCCCUCCACCCUCGUGGGCCCCACGUUGCUCCACCGACGUACUUCUUCCUCCUAUAUAUACCUAAGUACCGCCAAACUACCAGAUACGGAGCCAAAAACCUAAUUCCACCGCCGCAACAUUCUGUACCCGUGAGAUCGCAUCUUGGGGCCUGUUCCGGAGCUCCGCCGGAGGGGGCAUCUAUCACGGAGGGCUUCUACAUCAACACCAUAGCCUCUCCGAUGAAGUGUGAGUAGUUUACCUCAGACCUUCGGGUCCAUAGUUAUUAGCUAGAUGGCUUCUUCUCUCUUUUUGGAUCUCAAUACAAUGUUCUCCCCCUCUCUUGUGGAGAUCUAUUCGAUGUAAUCUUGUUUUGCGGUGUGUUUGUUGAGACCGAUGAAUUGUGGGUUUAUGAUCAAGUUUAUCUAUGAACAAUAUUUGAAUCUUCUCUGAAUUCUUUUAUGUAUGAUUGGUUAUCUUUGCAAGUCUCUUCGAAUUAUCAGUUUGGUUUGGCCUACUAGAUUGAUCUUUCUUGCAAUGGGAGAAGUGCUUAGCUUUGGGUUCAAUCUUGUGGUGUCCUUUCCCAGUAACAGUAGGGGCAGCAAGGCACGUAUUGUAUUGUUGCCAUCGAGGAUAACAAGAUGGGGUUUAGAUCAUAUUGCCUGAGUUUAUCCCUCUACAUCAUGUCAUCUUGCUUAAAGCGUUACUCUGUUCUUAUGAACUUAAUACUCUAGAUGCAUGCUGGAUAGCGGUCGAUGUGUGGAGUAAUAGUAGUAGAUGCAGGCAAGAGUCGGUCUACUUGUCUCGGACGUGAUGCCUAUAUACAUGAUCAUACCUGGAUAUUCUAAUUACUAUGCUCAAUUCUGUCAAUUGCUCAACAGUAAUUUGUUCACCCACCGUAAUACUUAUGCUCUUGAGAGAAGCCACUAGUGAAACCUAUGGCCCCCGGGUCUAUUUUCCAUCAUAUUCAAUCUCCCGACAACAACCUAUUUCUGACGCCAUUUUUACUUUGUUUACUUUACUUUGCAUCUUUAUCAUAAAAAUACCAAAAAUAUUAUCUUAUCAUAUCUAUCAGAUCUCACUCUCGUAAGUGACCGUGAAGGGAUUGACAACCCCUUUAUUGCGUUGGUUGCGAGGAUUUAUUUGUUUGUGUAGGUGCGAGGGGCUUGCGCGUGGCCUCCUACUGGAUUGAUACCUUGGUUCUCAAAAACUGAGGGAAAUACUUACGCUACUUUGCUGCAUCACCCUUUCCUCUUCAAGGGAAAACCAACGCAGUGCUCAAGAGGUAGCAAGAAGGAUUUCUGGCGCCGUUGCCGGGGAGUCUACGCAAAAGUCAACAUACCAAGUACCCAUCACAAACCCUUAUCUCCCGCAUUACAUUGUUUGCCAUUUGCCUCUCGUUUUCCUCUCCCCCACUUCACCCUUGCCGUUUUAUUCGCCCUCUCUUUUCCAUUUGCCUCUUUUUGCCUGUCUCCUGUUUGCUCAUGUGUUGGAUUGCUUGCUUGUCAUGAUGGCUCAAGAUAAUACUAAAUUGUGUGACUUCACCAAUACCAACAACAAUGAUUUCCUUAGCACUCUGAUUUCUCCUCUUACCGAUACUGAAUCUUGUGAAAUCAAUGCUGCUUUGUUGAAUCUUGUCAUUAAAGAUCAAUUCGCCGGCCUUCCUAGUGAAGAUGCCGCUACCCAUCUAAAUAGCUUCGUUGAUUUGUGUGAUAUGCAAAAGAAGAAAGAUGUGGAUAAUGAUAUUGUUAAACUGAAUCUAUUUCCCUUUUCGCUUAGAGAUCGUGCUAAAGCUUGGUUUUCAUCUUUGCCUAAAAAUAGUAUUGAUUCUUGGAAUAAGUGAAAAGAUGCUUUUAUCUCUAAAUAUUUUCCUCCCGCUAAGAUCAUCUCUCUUAGAAACGAUAUUAUGAAUUUUAAGCAACUUUCAUGAACAUGUUGCACAAGAUUGGAGAGGAUGAAAUUAAUGAUACGUAAUUGCCCUACACAUGGUUUGAAUUUAUGGAUGAUUAUACAAAUUUUUUAUGCCGGAUUGAAUUUUGCUUCUAGAAAUCUUUUAGACUCGGCCGCGGGAGGCACUUUUAUGGAAAUCACUUUAGGAGAAGCUACUAAACUCCUAGAUAAUAUUAAGGUUAAUUAUUCUCAAUGGCACACUGAAAGAUCUACUAGUAAAAAGGUGCAUGCGGUAGAAUAAAUUAAUGUUUUGAGUGGAAAGAUGGAUGAACUUAUGAAAGUAUUUGCUACUAGGAGUGUUUCUUCUGAUCCUAAUGAUAUGCCUUUGUCUACUUUGAUUGAGCAUAAUAAUGAAUCUAUGGAUGUAAAUUUUGUUGGUAGGAAUAAUUUUGGUAACAACGCGUAUAGUAGAAACUUUAAUCCUAGGCCUUAUCCUAGCAAUUCCUCUAAUAAUUAUGAUAAUUCCUACAACAAUUCUUAUGGAACUUUAAUAAGAUGCCCUCUGAAUUUGAGACUAGUGUUAAGGAGUUUAUGAAUUCACAAAAGAAUUUCAAUGCUUUGCUCGACGAAAAAUUGCUUAAAGUUGAUGAAUUGGCUAGGAACAUUGAUAGAUUUUCUCUUGAUAUUGAUUCUUUGAAACUUAGAUCUAUUCCACCUAAGCAUGAUAUCAAUGAGUCUCUCAAAGCCAUGAGAAUUUCCAUUGAUGAAUGCAAAGAAAGAACCGCUAGGAUGCGUGCUAAGAAAGAUUGCUUUGUAAAAGCGUGUUCUUCUAGUUCCUACGAAAAUAAAGAUGAAGAUCCAAAAGUUAUUGAUGUGUCCCCUAUUAAACCUUUGUUUAGAAAUAUGAAUCUUGAUAAUGAUGGGACUGAAUAUGAUCCACCUCUACCUAGAAGGUGUUCCAAAAAUUCGGAGUUUUUAGACCUUGAUGCUAAAAUUGGUAAAAGUGGGAUUGAAGAGAUCAAAACUCUAGAUAUUAAUGAACCCACUAUUUUGGAUUUCAAGGAAUUUAAUUAUGAUAAUUGCUCUGUGAUAGAUUGUAUUUCCUUGUUGCAAUCCGUUCUAAAUUCUCCUCAUGCUUAUAGUCAAAAUAAAGCUUUUACUAAACAUAUCGUUGAUGCUUUGAUGCAAUCUUAUGAAGAAAAACUUGAUUUGGAAGUUUCUAUCCCUAGAAAACUCUAUGAUGAGUGGGAACCUACUAUUGAAAUUAAAAUUAAAGAUCAUGAAUGCUAUGCUUUGUGUGAUUUGGGUGCUAGUGUUUCCACGAUUCCAAAGACUUUGUGUGAUUUGUUAGGUUUCCGUGAUUUUGAUGAUUGCUCUUUAAACUUGCACCUUGCGGAUUCCACCAUUAAGAAACCUAUGGGAAGAAUUAAUGAUGUUCUUAUUGUUGCAAAUAGAAACUAUGUGCCCGUAGAUUUUAUUGUUCUUGAUAUCGAUUGCAAUCCUUCAUGUCCUAUCAUUCUUGGUAGACCUUUCCUUAGAACGAUCGGUGCAAUUACUGAUAUGAAGGAAGGAAAUAUUAGAUUCCAAUUUCCGUUAAGGAAAGGCAUGGAACACUUUCCUAGAAAGAAAAUAAAAUUACCAUAUGAAUCUAUCAUGAGAGCCACUUACGAAUUGCCUACCAAAGAUGGCAAUACCUAGAUCUAUCCUUGCCUUUAUGCCUAGCUAGGGGCGUUAAACGAUAGCGCUUGUUGGGAGGCAACCCAAUUUUUUUUUGCUUUUUGCUUCUGUUUAGGAAUAAAUAUUUGAUCUAGCCUCUGGUUAGACUUGUUUUUAUGUUUUAAUUAGUGUUUGUGCCAAGUUAAACCUAUAGGAUCUUCUCGGAUGAUAGUUAUUUGAUUUUGCUAUAAAUUUCAGAAACUUUCUAUUCACGCAAAUAAUUGUUUAAAAUUACCAGAACGCGAUAAAAUAUUGAUUCCAAUUGCUGCUGAUCAAUAAAGAAAUUUUCUAGGUCGUCCUAUUUUGGCUGAAGUUUUGGAGUUCCAGAAGUUUGCGUUACUUACAGAUUACUACAGACUGUUCUGUUUUUGACAGAUUCUGUUUUUCGUGUGUUGUUUGCUUAUUUUGAUGAAUCUAUGGCUAGUAAAAUAGUUUAUAAACCAUAGAGAACUUGGAAUACAGUAGGAUUAACACCAAUAUAAAUAAAUAAUGAGUUCAUUACAGUAUCUUGAAGUGGUGUUUUGUUUUCUUUCGCUAACGGAGCUCACGAGAUUUUAUGUUAAGUUUUGUGUUGUGAAGUUUUCAAGUUUUGGGUGAAAGAUUUGAUGGAUUAUGGAAUAAGGAGUGGCAAGAGCCUAAGCUUGGGGAUGCCCAUGGCACCCCAAGAUAAUCUAAGGACACCAAAAAUCCAAAUCUUGGGGAUGCCCCGGAAGGCAUCCCCUCUUUCGUCUACUUCCAUCGGUAACUUACUUGGAGCUAUAUUUUUAUUCACCACAUGAUAUGUGUUUUGCUUGGAGCGUUUUUAUGAUUUGAGUCUUUGCUUUUUAGUUUACCACAAUCAUCCUUGCUGUACACACCUUUUGAGAGAGACACACAUGAUUCGGAAAUUAUUUUAAUACUCUAUGUGCUUCACUUAUAUCUUUUGAGCUAUAUAGUUUUUGCUCUAGUACUUCACUUAUAUCUUUUAGAGCACGGUGGUAACUUUUGUUUUAUAGAAACUAUUAUUCUCUCAUGCUUCACUUAGAUUCUUUUGAGAGUCUUAAAUAGCAUGGUAAUUUGCUUAAUCCUAAUAUGCUAGGUAUUCAAGACUAGUACAAACUUUCUUAUGAGUGUGUUGAAUACUAAGAGAAGUUAGAUGCUUGAUGAUUGUUUGAGAUAUGGAGGUAGUGAUAUCAAAGUUGUGCUAGUUGAGUAGUUGUGAAUUUGAGAAAUACUUGUGUUGAAGUUUGCAAGUCCCGUAGCAUGCACGUAUGGUAAACGUUAUGUAACAGAUUUGAAACAUGAGGUGUUCUUUGAUAGUCCUCCUUAUGAGUGGCGGUCGGGGACGAGCGAUGGUCUUUCCCUACCAAUCUAUCCCCCUAGGAGCAUGCGCGUAGUGCUUGGUUUUUGAUGACUUGUAGAUUUUUGCAAUAAGUAUGUGAGUUCUUUAUGACUAAUGUUGAGUCCAUGGAUUAUACACACUCUCACCUUUCCAUCAUUGCUAGCCUCUUCGGUACCGUGCAUUGCCCUUUCUCAUACUGAGAGUAGGUGCAAACUUCGCCGGUGCAUCCAAACCGCGUGAUAUGAUACGCUCUUUCACACAUAAACCUCCUUAUAUCUUCCUCAAAACAGCCACCAUACCUACCUAUUAUGGCAUUUCCAUAGCCAUUCCGAGAUAUAUUGCCAUGCAACUUUCCACCAUUCCGUUUAUCAUGACACAUUCAUCAUUGUCAUAUUGCUUUGCAUAAUCAUGUAGUUGACAUAGUAUUUGUGGUAAAGCCACCAUUCAUAAGUCUUUCAUACAUGUCACUCUUGGUUCAUUGCAUAUCCCGGUACACCGCCGGAGGCAUUCAUAUGGAGUCAUACUUUGUUCUAGUAUCGAGUUGUAAUCAUUGAGUUGUAAAUAAAUAGAAGUGUGAUGAUCAUCAUUUUCUAAAGCAUUGUCCCAAGCGAGGAAAAAUAAAAAAAUAAAAAAGGGGAGAAAGGCCAUAAAAAAGAAGGCCCAAAAAAAUGAGAGAAAAAGAGAGAAGGGACAAUGUUACUAUCCUUUUUACCACAUUGUGCUUCAAAGUAGCACCAUAAUCUUCAUGAUAGAGAGUCUUUUGUUUUGUCACUUUCAUAUACUAGUGGGAACUUUUCAUUAUAGAACUUGGCUUGUAUAUUCCAACAAUGGGCUUCCUCAAAUUCCCUAGGUCUUCAUGAGCAAGCAAGUUGGAUGCACACCCACUUAGUUUCUUUUGUUGAGCUUUCAUAUAUUUAUAGCUCUAGUGCAUCCGUUGCAUGGCAAUCCCUACUCCUUGCAUUAACAUCAAUAGAUGGGCAUCUCCAUAGCUCAUUGGUUAGCCUCGUUGAUGUGAGACUUUCUACUUUUUUGUCUUCUCCACAUAACCCCCAUCAUUAUAUUCUAUUCCACCCAUAGUGCUAUAUCCAUGGCCCACGCUCAUGUAUUGCGUGAAGGUUGAAAAAGUUUGAGAGUACUAAAGUAUGAAACAAUUGCUUGGCUUGUCAUUGGGGUUGUGCAUGAUGAGAGCAUUCUUGUGCGACGAAAAUGGAGCAUGACUAAACUAUAUGAUUUUGUAGGGAUGAACUUUCUUUGGCCAUGUUAUUUUGAGAGGACAUAUUGCUUAGUUAGUAUGCUUGAAGUAUUAUUAUUUUUAUGUCAAUAUUGAACUUUUAUCUUGAAUUUUUCGGAUCUGAAUAUUCAUACCACAAUUAAGAAGAAUUACAUUGAAAUUAUGCCAAGUAGCAUUCCACAUCAAAAAUUCUGUUUUUAUCAUUUACCUACUCGAGGACGAGCAGGAAUUAAGCUUGGGGAUGCUUGAUACGUCUCCAACGUAUCUAUAAUUUUUUAUUGUUCCAUGCUAUAUUAUAUUCUGUUUUGGACAUUAUUGGGCUUUAUUAUACACUUUUAUAUUAUUUUUGGGACUAACCUAUUAACCGGAGGCCCAGCCUAGAAUUGUUGUUUUUUGCCUAUUUCAGAGUUUCGCAGAAAAAGAAUAUCAAACGGAGUCCAAACGGAAUGAAACCUUCAGGAACGUGAUUUUCGGAACGAACGUGAUCCAGAGGACUUGGACCCUACGUCAAGACAUCAACCAGGAAGGCGCGAGGUAGGGGGGCGCGCCUACCCCCCCCCCCAGGGCGCGCCCUCCACCCUCGUGGGCCCCAUGUUGCUCCACCGACGUACUUCUUCCUCCUAUAUAUACCUACGUACCCCCAAACUAUCAGAUACGGAGCCAAAAACCUAAUUCCACCGCCGCAACCUUCUGUACCCGUGAGAUCCCAUCCUGGGGCCUGUUCCGGAGCGCUGCCGGAGGGGGCAUCAAUCACGGAGGGCUUCUGCAUCAACACCAUAGCCUCUCCGAUGAAGUGUGAGUAGUUUACCUCAGACCUUCGGGUCCAUACUUAUUAGCUAGAUGGCUUCUUCUCUCUUUUUGGAUCUCAAUACAAUGUUCUCUCCAUCUCUUGUGGAGAUCUAUUCGUUGUAAUCUUGUUUUGCGGUGUGUUUGUUGAGACUGAUGAAUUGUGGGUUUAUGAUCAAGUUUAUCUCUGAACAAUAUUUGAAUCUUCUCCGAAUUAUUUUAUGUAUGGUUGGUUAUCUUUGCAAGUCUCUUCGAAUUAUCAGUUUGGUUUGGCCUACUAGAUUGAUCUUUGUUGCAAUGAGAGAAGUGCUUAGUUUUGGGUUCAAUCUUGCGGUGUCCUUUCCCAGUGACAGUAGGGGCAGCAAGGCACGUAUUGUAUUGUUGCCAUCGAGGAUAACAAGAUAUGUCAUCUUGCUUAAAAUGUUACUCUGUUCUUAUGAACUUAAUACUCUAGAUGCAUGCUGGAUAGCGGUCGAUGUGUGGAGUAAUAGUAGUAGAUGCAGGCAGGAGUGGGUCUACUUGUCUCGGACGUGAUGCCUAUAUACAUGAUCAUACCUAGAUAUUCUCAUAACUAUGCUCAAUUCUAUCAAUUGCUCAAUAGUAAUUUGUUCACCCACCGUAAUACUUAUGCUGUUGAGAGAAGCCACUAGUGAAACCUAUGGCCCCCGGGUUUUAUUUCCAUCAUAUUCAAUCUCCCGACAACAAGCUAUUUCUGACGCCGUUUUUACUUUGUUUACUUUACUUUGCAUCUUUAUCAUAAAAAUACCAAAAAUAUUAUCUUAUCAUAUCUAUCAGAUCUCACUCUCGUAAGUGACCGUGAAGGGAUUGACAACCCCUUUAUUGCAUUGGUUGCGAGGAUUUAUUUGAUUGUGUAGGUGCGAGGGACUUGCGCGUGGCCUCCUACUGGAUUGAUACCUUGGUUCUCAAAAACUUAGGGAAAUACUUAAGCUACUUUGCUGCAUCACCCUUUCCUCUUCAAGGGAAAACCAACGCCGUGCUCAAGAGGUAGCAGCGAGCCCGCUGUCUUCUCCCGCGCAAAAGCGGUUCAUCAGAGCAGUGAGGGCUGUCAUGGAUUUAGGUCCUUCUUGGCCGAGGUGGCGUGCAAGCCAUUCGUCCCGGACGCUAUGUCUAAAGGCCGCAAGGGCUUCUGCCCGGACAGUCGAAGAUUUGGUUCUUUUUAACUAAGAACCGAGUCCAGAGCUUCCUGGCUGAUUCUCCGGGCUGCUGGACAAUGUGACUUAGGUCAUCGGCAUCCGGUGGCCGGACAUAUGUUCCUCGGAAGUUAUCGAGGAAAGCCUCUUCCAAGUCCUCCUAGCUGCCUAUGGAAUUUUCAGGCAGGCUGUUUAACCAGUGCCGAGCUGGUCCUUUUAGCUUUAGUGGGAGGUAUUUAUUGGCGUGGAGGUCGUCCCCACGGGCCAUAUGGAUGUGGAGGAUAAAAUCUUCUAUCCAUACUGUGAGAUCGGCUGUGCCGUCGUAUGAUUCAAUAUUGACGGGUUUGAAUCCUUCGGGGAAUUCAUGAUCCAUUACUUCAUCAGUGAAGCAUAGCGGGUGUGCGGCUCCUCUAUGUUGGGCCACAUUGCGACGUAACUCUGAAGGAGUCCCUUUUCGGUAUUUGGCGCGGGUGUGGCGAGGUUUGUCACGUCCGAACAGGUAGCCAUCGUCGAGCGUCAAGGCAUGCCUUCGCGAUCCGUAGAUCGGUCUUGCGUGUCCUGCUCUAUUGUCCAAGUCCCUCUGCAGGUCGUCUGGGUAAUCGUGACCUGCGUUGUUCUUGCCUUUACGGCGAGGUGGGGCGGUCUGGUGUUCGGCUUGAGUUGCCUCUUUAUCCGGACAGAGUUGUCGGUGACCUGCCGCUUUAUGUGACGAUGGUACGGGCUCCAACACCCCGUCAUCGGACUGGUAUAUAAUUCUGUGCUUUGGGUAGCUUUUGUCUAGGUCAUUAAGGCCGUAUUCUUCGGCGACCAAGACUUCGGUCCAUCUGUCAUUGAGUAGGUUUUGGUCUGCUUGAAGUUGCUGCUGCUUCUUUUUUAGGCUCCUUGCCGUAGCUAUUAGCCUGCGCUUGAAGCGCUCCUGUUCGAGGGGCUCUUCAGGUACGAUGAAGUCUUCGUCGCCGAGGCUUACCUCAUCUUCGGAGAGCGAAAGGUAGUUGUCGUCCUCCGAACUGUCGCUGGGCAGGGCCUGUUCAUCAGGGCUCACUUGCCUGAUUUCUUGUUCCUCCUGUUUGGAUCCUCCCGCGAUAGGGUCUUCAUUGUCCGGAGUGUUACCUUCUCUGGUGCUAGUGUUGUUUUCUUUUGAGCGACGUGGCUUAGAGCGGCGCCGGGGGCGCCGGUGUUCGGAUUGUGUCCCGGGAGGCUUAUCCUCAACUGGAUCCUCUUUGUCAUCGUCGAGAUCGUCGUUGGGUGUGUCUACCAUACACACGUCAUACCAGGAAUUGGUCGUUCCUCGUCUAGUGGAUAGUGAGUUCUGGCCUUGCCCCUCAUCGUCGUCCAUAUCGUCGAUGUCUGCAGAGCCGGGGUCAAGCGUGUUGGUUGGGUCUUCGACAGUGGCUAUGAAGUGGGUGGCGGGUGGGAAACAAAAUUCUCCAUCGUCCGCCGCCAGCUCGAACCGAACAUAGUUCGGCGGCGAGUCACCUGCCAGAGAUAGAUUUUUUAGUGAGUUUAGUACGUCGCCCAUGGGCGAGUGUCGGAAGACGUCUGCAGUGCUGAACUUGAAGAUCGAUAACCGAUCGAGUUUAGUAUCUACGGACUCACGGGGUUCGGAACUUGUCGCCGGAGACGAGUCCGGGGUUCCAUGAUACAUAUAUCAUAUGAAGUAAAAUCUGCACGAGGCUCCAACGCCGCGGAAUCGGUAGCCUCCGUGAUGGGGUUGAGCUUCCCAUCUUCGGAUGACUCGAUCUGCUCCGGCUCUAGGGCCAGAGUUGUUACAGGAGCUAUCUCCUGUAUGCGGCCCGGUGGCCGAUUUAAGCCGUGCCUAGCGGGGCGAAGGGGAGCGGUUGCCGCGGUCUCAAAUCCGUCGAAGAUCAAGUCUCCAUGGAUGUCCGCGACAUAGUUCAAGCUUCCAAAUCUGACAUGAUGGCCAGGGGCGUAGCUGUCGAUCUGCUCCAGAUGGCCAAGCGACUUGGCCCGCAGUACGAAGCCGUCGAAUACGAAGAUCUGUCUGGGGAGGAAGGUAUCUCCCUGGACGGCAUCACUAUAGACAGUCGAAGGGGCCAUCAAACCUUUCGUCGACGGCAAUGAAAGCACCAAUGUCGGUGUCAAAACCAUCGGAUCUCGGGUAGGGGUCCCGAACUGUGCGUCUAAGGUUGAUGGUUUGCAGGAGACGGGGGACACGAUGUUUACCCAGGUUCGGGCCCUCUCUAUGGAGGUAAUACCCUACUUCCUGCUUGAUUGAUCUUUAUGAAUAUGAGCAUUACAAGUGUUGAUCUACCACAAGAUCGACAUGGCUAAACCCUAGAAGUCUAGCAUGUAUGACUAAGGUAAUGAGUCUCUUCCUAUCCGGACUACGCUCUCCGGUUUAUAUAGGCACCGGAGAGAUCUAGGGUUACAUGGAGUCGGUUACAUAGAAAGGAAUCUACACGAUUGAUUGCCACGCUUGCCUUCCAUGCCAAGGAGAGUCCUGUCCGGACACGGGUGCCAUCUUUGGUCUUCGUAUCUUUACAGCCCAUCAGCCCGGCCCACGGAUAACAGGCCAGACGCCCGAGGACCCCUUACUCCAGGACUCCCUCAAGGGGGUCUCGAUGGUAAUAGGAGACGGGGGACACGAUGUUUACCCAGGUUCGGGCCCUCUCUAUGGAGGUAAUACCCUACUUCCUGCUUGAUUGAUCUUGAUGAAUAUGAGUAUUACAAGAGUUGAUCUACCAUGAGAUCGUAAUGGCUAAAACCCUAGAAGUCUAGCCUAUAUGAUUAUGAUUGCCUCUACGGACUAAACCCUCUGGUUUAUAUAGACACCAGAGGGGACUAGGGUUGUACAAAGUCGGUUACAGAGAAAGGAAUCUUCAUAUCCGAACGCCAAGCUUGCCGUCCAUGCCAAGGAGAGUCCCAUCCGGACACGGGAGAAAGUCUUUUGUCUCGUAUCUUCAUGGCCCAUCAGUCCGGCCCACGUUACAUAGUUCGGACGCCCGAGGACCCCUUAAUCCAGGACUCCCUCAGUAGCCCCUGAACCAGGCUUCAUUGACGAUGUGUCUGGCAUGCAAAUUGUCUUCGGCAUUGCAAGGCGGGUUCCUCCUCCGAAUCCUCCAAAGCAGCCUUCGAACACAGGAAACGUGUCCGGCUCUGCAAAACAAAUACCACACACAACCGCAGAGAGUACAAUAUUUCACGAGUCCAAUCUACUGGCAACUUUUUGUAGCGUGACAUCACGUCACUGCCCGGUCAUUAUUUCAAACCAUUUUUAGCCUGCCGCUCCGCGUUUCAAGAUGCGGUUUCCAUUGGUACGUCUUGUCGCAGCAGAGAUCGUGUCCCCUUAUUACGGGAUUCUCAUCAAUACGGGUGUGGGUAAUCUAACCAUGCCGUCUUCACGGCCCUUGGGAAUAGGCGAGUUUUAAGGCGAGUGGGGAGGCGCUUGAUAUUCACCGCCUUUAUAAGGAGAUAAGGAUUCCUUUCUUUCACCCACACCUUCUCUCUCUCUGCCCCCCCCAUUCUCGAGCUCCAGCGCCCAAGUUCUCAUCCUUUUCGCCUCAAAAAAGCACUCCAAUCAUGUCCGGAUCCGGAGCGCAGGGCAAGUGGAUGGUCUCCUCCGUCAAGGAGAAGGACAUCACCAAGCUCCGGGAGGCCGGGUAUUUGUCCAAGGAAGUCGCCCACCGGCUUCCGGCCAAGGGGCAGAUCGUCUCCACCACGGAGCCCCAUGAGAGGGUAGUGUUCAUCCCUCACUUCAUCCGCGGGCUGGGAUUUCCUCUCCACCCAUUCAUCCGCGGACUCAUGGUCUACUACGAGCUAGAUUUCCAUGAUCUAGCCCCAAAUUCUUUCCUCAACAUCUCGGCAUUUAUUGUCGUCUGCGAGGCUUUCCCCCGCAUCCCACCCCACUUCGGAUUGUGUCUAAAGAUCUUCAAUGUGAAGCCGAAGGUGGUGGGUGGCCAGCACGUAGAGUGCGGAGGCACCAUGGCGAGCAAGAUGCCCAAUGUCACAUUGCCCGAAGGCUCCUUCGUGGAGACCGUCAAAGGGUGGCAGCAAUUGUGGUUCUAUAUCACAGAGCCCCACGAUGCCACCUGGGCCGCGGCUCCCGAAUUCAAGUCCGGAGCCCCAAUGCGGCUCACCUCCUGGCUAGAGAAGGGCCUAAAUUGGGCUUCGUCGGACGAGCUAACAGCGCUGCAGAUGCGCAUCCAGAGGAUGGUGGACAAGAACAUCAAGCUCGUCAAUGUGAUCCAGGUGAUGCUAGUUCGCCGAAUCCUUCCAUGCCAGAGCCGGGCUUGCCAUCUAUGGGAGUUCGAUCCGGCCGAGCACCAGACCUUGCAACGGUUCUUCGGAACUACGCACGAAGAUAUCUGGAAGGUGCUCUUCAAGGCCAACGAGACGUGGCCGAAGACGACCGAGGACCGUGGGCACGACCUGGCCCAUCCUGCCGGUCUGGUAAGCCUUUCGCAUUUCAAGGUGUAUCCUUUACUUGCUUAUUCAGGGAAGAUGCCUAAGCCUCCCUAUUUAUUUUUUUAGGGCUGGACAAAGAAGGCGGAGCGGAUUCAGUAUCUGGCUCCGCCGCCCGAGGAGCCAGCCAUCCCGCUUCUGACGAAGAUGCUGGUUUCGGUGCCCUACCAGGCACCGGAGAAGAAGGCCAAGAAAAAGGCCAAGGAGACCUAAAGUGGCCUCCGCCGCAAGGGCGCUUCGGACGUGACGUCCGAAGACAUCGAGCAUCACUCCUCCGCCGUCGAGGACGACGAGGAGGACGAGCAAGAAAGCAACUCCCCCCUGAGGGGGGAAGGAAGAAGAGGGCGGCCUCCACGCGUCUGGAGGCCAAAGAGUCCAAGAAGGGGAAAGUCUCCCUCGCGGAUAACUCCGAGUGGGACAUCGAUAGCAUCCCAGAGCGGCGCCCCCGAGAUAAGACCCUGGCUGAAUCGUGAGUACUCAAAGACCAUGACGUAUUCAUAUAUCCAGCCUCUUUACUUCAUAGUUUUAACAUGCUAAAUCAUGCACUUGCAGUCCGGCUCGUUCCGUCCUCGAGCAAUCCUCAUCUUCGGGGAAUUCGCUGGACCCGAAGGUGAUGGACAGCGGGUCCCUUCCGGCGGCCUCCUCUCCCAGGGCCAUGGAUGACACCGAGGUGUUGUCCCGAAGGAUCCCAGGCCAGGGAGAGACACGGGAGGCCGUCAGGGCGGCACCGGAGGGUGAACCUAGGCUAUCGGACACAUGGGGGAGCAAAUCCCCACGAAGACUGGCGAUGGGGGCCAUAUCCAAUUCGGCCCCCAGCCGAAUACGGUCCCGGAGACCUAUACGGCUCCGGAAUCCGGCAAGCAGCCUCCUUUGAAAGGAGGAGGUGUCCCUAUUCCACCGGUGACCUAUGUCCAACCAGAGGCACCUGAUACUCUAUGGAAGCGCUGCGAAGUGCUUCCAUUGUUGAGGAACACCGUGCCCUCAUGGGUACGGUGAUUGAGAAGAUUCAGUCCGCGAAGAGCGGACUGACUGAAGCCUGCGCAAGCCUUCUAACAGGCUUUGAGGUAAGAAACGCAAUUAUGUAAAAAGAAUGUCACAGUAUGGACAGUAGCCCCUGAGACUCUGUCCGGUGUUUGGAAAGAAAAGCCGGACAGAGGAUCAAAUAAUUUUCGCAAGAGACUAACCAUACAUGUCUAUGUGAAUAAGUAGGCGUCGUUGCUGGCUGUGACCUCCCACGCUGCCGAAGUCUCCGGACAGAAGCAGAGUCUGGAGCGGACCGAGGAAGAGCUCGGCCGUGUAAAAAAUCAGCUAGAGGAUAAGCAAGGUAUGCAACGGCCUAUUCAAAUCUAGAAAGAUAUGAAUUGUUUCAUGUUGAUCACAGUAUCAUGAUAUGUCGUAGUAGUUGUGACCGAGGUGGAGACCCUCAAGGCCGCGCUGGCAGAAGCCCAGAAGAGAGCGGCGGAGGAACAAUCCGUCCGCGAAAAGGACGAGGCCGUGGUCGGGGAGGUCCAGCAAGAACUCCAGGAUGCCGUGAAGAAAUGCGAGUCCUUGGAUCGCAAGAUUGCAGAUCAAGAGUCCGAGCUUGAUAAGGCCCGCCAAAGCGCCCAAGGGGCCCGGGUUGAAGCCCAGGGCGUCCUCCAGGAAACCCAAGAGGCCAAGAAAAUCGCGGCAGGUAAGGCCUUCAUUAUGCAAAGCAAAUAUGCGAAGAAGAGGUAUCUCUUACUAACCCAGAUUUGGAGUUCUCCAGGGCGUUUGCGGAUCUGCCACGCAGUGUGUCUGACGCUGCGGAAUUCUUCCGAGCCGAAGAGGGGAGCUCAAUGGAGAAGCUGUUCUGGUCGCAAUAUCUUGCGCUGGAACAUACGGUGCCUUUUAGCGAUCAGCUAAAACAGCUGGUCGAACUGCAUAGGGUGGCCUAACUGGCCAUGAGGGAUUUGAUAAUCCGGCUGUGGCCUGCCGAAGCAAUACCCAGCAGCUACUUCGGGCUUGUGAAGCGGCUGGUCAAUGCCUACCCCCGGCUUGACGUCAUCAAGCGGUCGGUCUGCAUCGAAGGUGUGUGGAUGGCCUUCGCGCGUGUCAAGGUGCAGUGGGCAAAGAUGAACGCCGUCAAGCUCACGACCGAGGGACCACCCGCUGGCAAGGAGCACUGCACGCCCGAGCGGUAUUUUGAUGAUGUCCUGGAGGGAUCCCGCAUUGUAGCGGAGCAAUGUGCUAAGGACAUUAUUUUUGAAUUGAAUUCAUUCAUGUUAUCCUGUCCUGUAUUAUGAAACAAAGCCGUUAUGUAAUAUAAUGCUUGUUUAUUAUUUGAAAUUUUACCUCCUGUGCGGCCGUUUUUAUUAAAUCUGAGAGUUGGCCAGUCGUCGGCUUCAACCCCCAUGUAGGUAGUACGGGGGUGUUCGGGAUGAAAUCUAAACACUCUUGAUCCAAAGGCUUGGUCCUUGAAGGAGGUGUUUAGCGCAACGAACCAGGCAAUCGGACUAUGUGGCUUUAUCACCCUCACUUAGCCAUAGGAGUUUGACAAUAGAAUUUUAGGCGCAGCCCCUGGUAUUCAUAAAUCCGAACUAGGGUGCUGUAAACACCUGAUCGGGUAAAGACCGAUUCGUCGCGUAAUGCGGAAAAAAUCGCAAAAGAUUUGUAACUUCCGAACAGCUGAACGGCACACGCCGCAUCAUGACAGUCAGUUUUCGGCUUUCUCUACUAAGGUGCUCAUCCAGAUAAACCAGGACACAAUCGCAGUAGUUCUCCCUUUACUACCCUAGCCGAUAUAGAGGAAUAUAAGGUAGUAAGCACAGGAGCCGGGCAACCCAACUAUUGACCACAGACAUGAUUCGGAGCCGAUGCAUAUAAUGCUAAAAUUUGGGGUGCCGAACUAUACUGUAAAAAAGUGUUCGGACUUUGUUGCCGUAGUAUGGGGCUCAAUGAAGCCCCUGGCGAAUUAAGGCGUACCAAAGUGUACGGGUGCAAUUGAUAAGAUUAUCAAGAAAAAAUGAAGUAGUAAGCUAGUGCCGCAGAAGUUGGGCCACAAACUGUUUCCAUUAUUGUUUGAUUAAUAUGUCAAAGUGUAUUUUUACAAGUAGCGCGAUAAGCAACAGGGCUAUUUAACAUGCCACGGCCAAGGGAGAGCUGCGUGCGGGUCCUGAAAACAUGUAGGGUGGUCGUCAAAAAGACUGUCGGUGUCAAAACCGGCAGAUCUCGGGUAGGGGGUCCCGAACUGUGCAUCUAGGAUCGAUGGUAACAGGAGACGGGGGACACGAUGUUUACCCAGGUUCGGGCCCUCUCUAUGGAGGUAAUACCCUACUUCCUGCUUGAUUGAUCUUGAUGAAUAUGAGUAUUACAAGAUUUGAUCUACCACGAGAUUGUAAUGGCUAAAACUCUAGAAGCCUAGCCUGUAUGACUAUGGUAAUGUGUAUGUCCCCUAUCCGGACUACGCCCUUCGGUUUAUAUAGACACCGGAGCGAUCUAGGGUUUACAAAGAGUCGGUUACAUAAGGAAUCUUCAUAGUCGAUCGCCAAGCUUGCCUUCCAUGCCAAGGAGAGUCCAAUCCAAACACGGGUACAGUCUUCGGCCUUCAUGUCUUCAUAGCCAUCAGUCCGGCCCAUGGAUAACAGGACGGACGCCCGAGGACCCCUUAGUCCAGGACUCCCUCUGUAGCCCCUGAACCUGGCUUCAAUGACGAGGAGUCCGGCGCGCAGAUUGUCUUCGGCAUUGCAAGGCAGGUUCCCCUUUUUCCGAACUCCAAGAUAGUCUUCGGAUGCGAUGACUAGUAUCCGGACCUAUCACACACACCAUACACAACCGCAGAGAGAAUAUAUUUUUACACGAGUUCCAUCCGCUGACAACUUUUUUGCAGCACGACAUUACGUCCGACCGGUCAUAAUUCCAAACCGCUUUUGUGUUCGACGCCCCACGUCCCGAGACGCGGUUGCCAUUGGCACGUCUUGUCAAAGCAGAGAGCGUGUCCCCUUAUCACGGGAUUCUCAUCAAUGCGGGCAUGGGUAACCCAACCGUGCCGUUUAUACAGCCCUUGGGAAUAGGCGAAUCUUAAGGCGAGUGAGGAGGCAUUUAACACUCGCUGCCUUUAUAACGGGAUAAUGAUUCCCUUUUCCUCUCUCGCGCCCUCUCUCGGUCUCUGCCUUUCCAAUCUUGAGCUCCAGCGCCCAAGUUCUCAUCUCCUUGCCACUCAAGCAACCAUGUCCGGAUCCGGAGGUCAGGGCAAGUGGAUGGUCUCCUCCGUCAAGGAGGAGGACAUUACUGAGCUUCGGGCGGCCGGAUAUUUGGCGAAGGAGAUCGCCCACCGUCUGCCGGCCGAGGGACAAGUCGUCCCCAUGCCGAAGCCCACCGAGAGGGUAGUAUUCAUCCCCCAUUUCUUCCGCGGGCUAGGGUUUCCACUCCACCAUUUCGUCCGCGGCUUGAUGUAUUAUUACGGGAUAGAUUGCCAUGAUUUGUCCCCGAAUUCCUUCCUCAACAUCUCGGCGUUUAUCGUCGUGUGUGAGGCCUUCCUACGCAUCCAACCCCACUUCGGGCUGUGGCUCAAAGUCUUCAACGUGAAGCCGAAGAUGGUGGAUGGCCAGCACGCGGAGUGCGGAGGAGCCAUGGUGAGUAAGCUGUCCAACGUCUCCGGGCCCAAAGGCACUUUUGUGGACACAGUAAAGGAGUGGCAGAAGCAGUGGUUCUACAUCAUAGAAGCUCGCGGCACCACCUGGGCCGCAGCUGCCGAAUUCCGCUCCGGUGCUCCCAUGCGACUCACCCCCUGGGUCGAGAAGAGUCCGGACUGGUGUUCACCUGACGAGCUGAUAGCACUGCAGACGCGCGUUCAAAGCAUGGUGACCAAGAAUGUCAAGCUCGUCGAUGUAAUCCAGGUGAUGCUAGUUCGCCGGAUUCUUCCGUGCCAGCGCCGAAGCCGCCCUCUGUGGGAGUUCAAUUCGAAGAAGCACCAGACCUUGCUAAGACUCUUCGAGACUACUCACGAAGGUGCCUGGAAGUUGCUUUUUAAGGGCAACGAGAAGCCACCGGCCACGGAUUCAGACCGUGGUCACGAUUGUAAACACCCCGCCAGCGAGGUAUCCUAUCUCUGACGUAUCCCCAACUUAAUUGUUUCGAAGAUGAUGUCUGAGUUAAUCAUUGUGUUUUCAGGACUGGAUGGAGAGGGCGAAGCGGAUCCAGUGUCCGGCUCCGCUGCCUGAAGAACCGGUCAUCCCGCAUCUAGCAAAGAUGCUGGUGCCAGCGCCAUAUAAGGCGCCGGAGAAGAAGGCCAAGAAGAAGGCCAAGGGGGCCAAGAGUGGCCCCCGUCGCAAAGGCACUCCGGACGUGACGUCCGAAGAAGACGAAGCUCAUUCCUCUGUCCCUGAGGACAAUGAUGAGGAAGAGGAGGAGGAGGAGGAGGAAAACAACCCUCCCCCUGAGGAGAGGAAGAAGAAGAGGGCGGCUUCGGCGCAUUUGGAGGCGGAAACGCCCAAGAAGGGGAAGGGCGUCCCAGCUGUCAACACCGCGUGGGACGUUGACAGCAGUCCGGAACGACACCCCCGUACUAAGCCCCAGGCCGCAUCGUAAGUGACAUGGCCCGCUCAUGCGCACAUCCGGCCCUUUCUCUUCAUUAUCUUGACAUAGUUAACUGUACUAUUACAGUCCGGCCCGCGACCUUAUCCAGCGAUCCUCAUCUGGAGGUUCGUUGGCUCCGUCGGAGAUGGCGAGCAUGUCGCCGCCGCCUGAUUAUUCCCCCGGGGCCAGGGACGACACCGAAGUGUUGUCCCGGAGGACCGCUCCGAACCGGGGAGGAGCCCAAGACGCUGUCUGGGAGGCGCCACAAGCCGAGACCUCCACUACCGGACACAUGGGGGAGCAGAUCCCCAUGGAGACUGGCGGAGAGGGCCACAUCCAGUUCGGCCCUCAGCCGAAUACGAUUUCGGAGAUCCAUAUGGCUCCGGAGUCGGGCGAGCAGCCCGCUUUGAAGGAGGGGGGUGCGCCGCUUCCACCGGUGGCCCCUGUCCAUCCAGGGGCGCCGGAUAACCUGAUGGAGGCGCUACAAGGCGCCUCCGUCGUGGACGAGCACCGUGUCCUUAUGGAUGCGGUGAUCGAGAAGGUUCAGUCCGCCAAGAGUGGACUGAAUGAAGCCUGCAGCAACCUGCUGAUAGGUUUCAAGGUAAGAAAGAGAAAAACCCCGUGUAGACAGUAGCCCCUGAGACACUGUCCGGUGUUCGGCGAGAAGAACCUGAUAGAGGAUCAAUCUUUUGUCAUAGGAGACUGACUUAAUAUGUAUGAAUAAGUAGGCGUCACUGUUGGCCGCAACCUCGCAUACUGCCGAAGUCUCUGAACUGAAGCAGAGGCUGGAGCGGAACGAAAACGAGCUCGGCGAGGUUAGGGUGCGGCUCCGGGAGAAGCAAGGUGAGUGACGACUUGCUGUGUGUUCGGAAGGAGUAGGCGUUGUAUAUUGACCGCGGUGUCGUAAUAUAUGCAGGAGCCGCGACCGAGGUCGAGGCCCUGAGGAAGGCCCUGUGCGAGGCCGAGGAGAAGGUUGUCCAGCAGCAAGUCGCCCGUAAGAAGCUCAAGGCCCGGGUCAAAGAAGUCCAGCAGGAGCUCCAGGAUGCGGUGAAAAAAUGCGAGGCCUUGGAGCAUGAUGCGUCGGUUCAAGGGGCCGAACUCGCCAAGGCUCGUCAGAGCGCGGAGACUGCACGGAAUGAGGCCCAGGCCGCCCUCCAGGAGAUCCAGGAGGCCAAGAAGAUCACGGCGGGUAAGGCAUUUAAGAUGCAAAGCAAGUAUGCGAAGAAGCAGUACCUUUUACUAACCCGGGUUCGGAGUUCCCCAGGGGCUUUUGCGGAUUUACCACGCAGUGUAUCAGACGCCGCGGAGUUCUAUCGGGCCGAAGGAAGGGGUUCUACAGAGAAGCUAUUCUGGUCGCAGUAUGCGAUGCCAGAGCAUCCUGUGUCCUUCACCGAUCAGCUGAAACAGCUGGUGGAGCUGCAUAGGGUGGCCGAACUAGCCUUUAAGGAUGUGAUAAUCCGGCUAUGGCCAUCCGAAGCUAUGCCAGGCAGCUACUUCGGACUCAUGAGGCGGAUGGUGAACGCCUAUCCUCGGCUGGACGUCGUCAAGUGCUCGGCCUGUAUUGAAGGUGCGUGCAUGGCCUUCGCCCGUUGCAAGAUGUGGUGGGCGAAGAUGGACGCCAUCAAGAUGACCAGAGGGCCACCGAAGGGCAAGGAGCACCGCACACCUGAACGGUAUUUUGCGGAUGUCCUAGAGGGGUCUCGCCUUGCGGCAGCACAAUGUUCGCAGGACAUUGUAUUUGAAUAAAUGUAUUCAUGUUGCCUUUGACUUGUAUUAUGAAAACAAAGCCUGUUUUAUAAUGUAAUUUUGUUAUGCUUUAAUUGUUUCCUCAUGUGCGGCCAUGCUGUAUGUAAUCUGAGGGUUGGCCAGUCGUCGGCUUCUGCCCUCACGUAGGUAGUACGGAGGUGUUCGGGAUGGAAUCUAAACAAUCUUGAUCCAAUUAUAUGGUCCCUGAAGGAGUUGUUUAGCGCAACGAACAAGGCAAUCAGACUAUACGGCUUAAAUGCCCUCACUUAGCCAUAGGAGUUUUAUAAUAAAGCAUGGGUGCAGCCCCUAGUUUAGGCCAGGGUGCUGUCAGCAUCUGAUCGGGAAGUGCCGAUCUUUCGCAUAAUGCGGAAAAAAUCUCCUACGAUUUGUAACCCUCGAACAGUUGACCGGCUCUCGCCGUAUCAUGACAGUCAGCUUUCGGCUUUCUCUACUGAGGUGCUCAUCUGGUCAAGGCCAGGGCACAAUCGCAGUACUUCUCCCUUUACUACCCUAGCCGAUUCAGCGGAACAUAUGGUAGCAAGCACAGGAGCCGGGCAAACCAACUAUUGACCAAAGACAUGAUUCGAAGCCAAUGCAUAUAAUGCUAAAUUCGGGGUGCCGAACUUUUCUAUAAGAAGUGUUCGGACUUUGCUGCCGUAUUAUGGGGUGAUAGGGAGCCCUUGGCGAAUAUGAGACGUACCAAAUUGUACAGAUGCGGUUGAUAAGCAAAUCGAAAUAAAAUGAAGUAAGAAGCGAAAACCACGGAAGCUGAGCCGCAAACCAUUUUCAUUAUAUGGCUCCGUCAAGGCGUGUCUUGUAUAAAUAGUGCGAUAAGCAUCCGGGCUAUUUAACAUGCCGGAAUCAAGAGGGCGCAGCGUGUGGGUCCUGAGAAAUAAGUAGAAAUACCGUCAAGAAGAACGUAUAGAGGUUACCCUACACACCUAUGCUGCUUGCCGUCCUUGUAUGUCGAUCCUUCGAAAGGACUGGUGAUCAGGCCUGCGGGAAAAGGAACCUGAAACAAAUAAAAAGAAAAAUGGGGAAAGUACGUGUGAGUCCGGGGUCGGUCAAGCCGUACUGUGGACCACAAGCUGUGCCUCCGUCGAUGCCCAUGGGAUUUUGAGUGCGUAAUUAUGUGCGCGUGGUACGAGUGCCACUACUUGAUCAGGGUUGGGAUGGAGGCCGAAUUGCUAGUCAAGCUCUUGACGAGCCGAGUUGUCCUAUUGCAGCAUAGCCCAGACCUUCUUAACGGUGUCCAGGGGCUCGGCAGCCGGAUUACGGUUCUGCUUGAAAAGGCCGCUCUGCUGCUAGGGCGGCGGUGUGCUCCUCUGUAUGGAGGGAGCGUUCCGUAUUUCCAUUGACUGUUAUGACACCGCAUGGACUGGGCAUUUUAAGCUUGAGAUAAGCAUAGUGUGGCACCGCGUUGAAUCUAGCGAACGCGGUUCGUCCGAGCAGUGCGUGGUAGCAGCUGCGGAAGGGGACGAUAUCUAAGAUUAGCUCUUCGCUUCGGAAGUUGUCCGGAGAACCGAAGACAACCUCUAGUGUGAUUGAGCCCGUACAACGGGCCUCUACGCAUGGUAUGACUCCUUUAAAGGUAGUCUUUGUUGGUUUGAUCCAUGAGGGAUUAAUACCCAUUUUGCGCACUGUAUCCUGAUAGAGCAGGUUGAGGCUGCUACCACCGUCCAUUAGGACUCGUGUCAGAUGAAAUCCGUCGAUGGUUGGGUCGAGGACCAAUGCCGCCGAACCGCCGUGACGGAUACUAGUUGGAUGAUCUGGUCGAUCGAAGGUGAUCGGGAAUGACGACCAUGGAUUGAAUUUGGGGGCGACUGGCUCUACCGCGUAGAUGUCCCUGAGUGCGCGCUUGUGCUCCCUUUUGGGAAUGUGUGUAACAUAUAUCAUGUUCACUGUUUUGACUUGAGGGGGAAACUUCUUCCGCCCCCCAGUGUUCGGUUGCCGGGGCUCUUCGUCAUCGUCCUCACUUUGUGAUCCCUUUUCCUUGUUCUCGGCAUUUAACUUGCCGGCCUGCUUAAAAACCCAACAAUCUCUGUUGGUAUGGUUGGCUUGUUUGUCUGGGGUGCCAUGUAUCUGGCACGGACGGUCGAGUAUGCGGUCCAAGCUGGAUGGUCCCUCGCUGUUCCUUUUGUAAGUCUUCUUCCGCUGGCCGGACAUGGAACCACUGAAUCCGGCAUGAACCGUAGUGUCAUCGGUGUUAUCACCAUUGCUUCGGCAUUUGUGUCUAUUGCACCGGAGUUUGCCGGUGCUGCUUUUGGCCUCGGAGGGGCCUGCCUUGUUGGCCGUGUUUUUACUACGAGCCAGUCAACUAUCUUCACCCACACAAAAGCGGGUCAUGAGUGUCGUAAGGGCUGCCAUGGAUUUCGGCUUUUCCUGGCCGAGGUGGCGGGCGAGCCAUUCGUCACGGAUGCUGUGUUUGAAGGCCGCUAGGGCUUCUGCAUCCGGACAGUCAACGAUCUGGUUCUUUUUGGUUAGGAACCUAGUCCAGAAUUUUCUGGCUGACUCUCCAGGUUGUUGAACUAUAUGACUUAGGUCAUCGGCGUCUGGUGGCCGGACAUAAGUGCCUUGGAAGUUGUCAAGAAAAGCUUCUUCCAAGUCCUCCCAGCUGCCGAUGGAAUUUUCAGGCAGGCUGUUUUACCCGUGUCUGGCUGGCCCUUUGAGCUUUAGAGGAAGGUAUUUGAUGGCGUGGAGAUCGUCUUCUCGGGCCAUAUGGAUGUGGAGGAUGAAAUCCUCGAUCCAUACUACGGGAUCGGUUGUUCCGUCGUAUGAUUCAAUAUUGAUGGGCUUGAAACCCUCGGGAAAUUCAUGAUCCAGUACUUCAUCUGUGAAGCAGAGGGGGUGUGCGGCACCUCUAUAUCGGACCACAUCGCGACGUAGCUCUGAUGGAGUCCGCCUGCGGCAUUCGGCCCGGGCGUGGUUAGGUUUAUCACGUCCAAAUAGGUAGCUGUCGUCGUGUCUCGAGGCACGUCCUCACGAUCUGUAGAUCGAUCAUGUAUGUCCUGCUCUACUGUCCAGGGUCUGCCGGAGGUCGUACGUGUGACCCCGAAUUGUUCCGCUUCUGUUUUUACGGGGCGGUGGGGCAGGCUGCUGCUCGGCCUGAGUUGCCGCUUUAUCCCGACCGUGGGGUGGUCGGUCCGCCGCACAGUCUCGACCACGUGGUGGUCGUUCCGCAUUGCGCGAGGGAGAUAUGGGCUCAGGCGCCUCCUCAUCGAACUGAGGUAGCAGUCUGCGUUUCGGGUAGCUCUUGGCUGGGCGCUUGAGGCCAUAUUCUUCGGCUGUCAGGACAUCAGUCCAUCUAUCGAUGAGCAGAUCUUGUUCAGCUUGAAGCUGCUGCUGUUUCUUUUUCAGGCUCCUUGCGGUGGCUAUGAGCUGAAGCUUAAAGUGCUCCUGCUCCAGGGGAUCCUCAGGCACGAUGAAGUCUUCGUUGCCGAGGCUCGUCUCCUCCUUGGAGGGCGGACGGUAACUAUCGUCCUUCGAGUCUUCUUCUAUGUCAUGUUCGUCUGGGCUGGCAUGCCAUGAUUCCCGAUUGUCUCGUUCGGCGGUUUGUUCAUCGGGUUCUUCUGUGUCCUCGGCACCAUCCGGAGUGUUCUCGUCUCCUGUGCCGGUGUUGCUAUCCCUGCUGCGGCGGGACUUAGAGUGGCGCCGCUGACGACGGCGCUUUGGUUGUGUUUUAGGAGGGUCCUCCUUGGCCGGAUUUUCCUUGUCAUCGCCGCUAUUUUUCGACGUGUCUACCAUGUAGACGUCAUAUGAGGAGGUGGCCGUCCAUCGUCCAGUGAAUGGCGGGUCCUGGCCUUGCUCCUUGUCGGCAUCGUCGUCCAUACCGUCGAUGUCUUCGGAGCCAUAAUCAAGCUCAUCGAUUAAGUCAUCGACAGUGGCUAUGAAGUGGGUGGCAGGUGGGAAGCUGAAUUCUCCAUCCUCAGCCCCUAGUUCGAACCGGACAUAGUUCGGCUGUGAGUUCCCCGCCAAGGACAGGUUCUUGAAAGAGUUUAGCACAUUUCCCAAAGGUGAGUGCUGAAAGAUGUCUGCGACGCUGAAUUCGAAGAUCGAUAAACGAUCAAGUUCAGCGUCCGCGGGCGUACGCAGUUCGGAACUUAUAGCCGGAUCUGACAUGGACGGUCGAGUAUGCAGUCCAAGCUGGAUGAGCCCAGAUUGCUUUUAUAUGGCUUCUUCCACUGGCCGGACUUGGAGCCACUGAAUCCGGCGUUGACUGCCGUGUCAUCGGUAUUGUGACCAUUGCUUCGACGCUUGUGUCUGUUGCGUCGGCUUGCCGUUGCUAUUUCUGGCUUCAGAAGUGCCAGGUUCGCUUGUACUGUUAUUGCUACGGGCUAGCCAGCUAUCUUCGCCCGCGCAAAAGCGGGUCAUAAGCGCCGUGAGGGCUACCAUGGACUUCGGCUUUUCUUGGCCGAGGUGUCGGGCGAGCCAUUCGUCGCGGAUGCUAUGUUUAAAGGCCGCUAGGGCUUCGGCUUCCCGACAGUCGACGAUCUGGUUCUUUUUAGUUAAGAACCUAGUCCAGAAUUUCCUGGCUGACUCUCCAGGCUGUUGAACUAUGUGACUUAAGUUGUCGGCAUCUGGAGGUUGGACAUAUGUACCUUGGAAGUUGCCGAGGAAGGCAUCCUCCAAUUCCUCCAAGCUGCCAAUUGAGUUUUCGGGCAGACUGUUCAACCAGUGUCGAGCUGGUCCCUUGAGUUUUAGCGGGAGGUAUUUGAUGGCAUGAAGAUCAUCACCGCGGGCCAUGUGAAUAUGGAGAAGAAAAUCCUCGAUCCAUACCGCGGGGUCUGUUGUCCCAUCAUAUGAUUUGAUGUUCACGGGUUUAAACCCUUCUGGGAAUUCGUGUUCCAUGACUUCAUCAGUGAAGCAAAGGGGGUGUGCGGCGCCUCUAUAUCGGGCCAAGUCGCGGCGUAGCUCGGAUGGAGUUCGUCUGCGGUUUUCAGCCCGGGCGUGGUUAUGUUUGUCACGUCCGGCCAGGUGGCCGUCGUCGCGCAUCGGGGCACGCCCCCGCGAUCCGUAGAUCGAUAUGGUCUGACCUGCUCUGUUCUCCAGGUCCUGCCGCAGGUCAUAUGUGUAUCCCCAAGCUGCUUUAUCUCUGCCUUUACGGUGAGGUAGUACGGGCUGGUGUUCAGCUUGAGUUGCCACUUUGUCCCGACCACGUGGUGGUCGAUCAGCUGCAUUACACGCUGAUGGUACGGGCCCAAGUGCCUCGUCGUCGAAUUGAGGUAGCAAUUUGCGCUUUGGGUAACUUUUGGUUGGGCGCUCGAGGACGUAUUCCUCGGCUGCCAGGACAUUAGUCCAUCUAUCGUUGAGCAGAUCUUGAUCAGCUUGAAGCUGUUGCUGCUUCUUUUUCAGGCUCCUUGCAGUGGCUAUUAGCUGGCGCUUGAAGCGCUCCUGCUCGAGAGGUUCCUCAGGCAUGAUAAAAUCCUCGUUGCCGAGGAUCACCUCAUCCUCGGAGAGCGGAAGGUAGUUACUGUCCUCCGAGUCUUUGUUUACAGCCUGUUCAUCAGGGCUGACUCGCCCAUCUUCCCGCUCGUCUUGUUCGGAGGUUGGCUUAACGGGGUCUUCAUUGUCUUCGGCAUCGUCUAGAGUAUUGUUUUCUCCUGUGCCGGUAUUGUUGUCUUUUCCGCGGCGUGGCUUAGAGCAGCGCUGCUGACGUUAGCACUUUGGCUGUAUCUUAGGUGGCUUGUCCUCGACUGGAUCUUCCUUGUCAUCGCCGCUAUUCUCUUUGGGUGUAUCCACCAUGUACGCAUCAUACGAAGAGGUGGCCGUCCAGCGUCCGGUAAACGGCGGGUUUUGGGCCUGUUCUUCUCCGGCAUCAUCGUCCAUACCGUCGAUGUCUUCGGAGCCGUAAUUGAGCAUGUUGGUUAAGUCCUCGACAGUGGCUAUAAAGUGGGUGGUGGGUGGGACGUAAAAUUCCUUGCUCUCAGCCCCUAGUCCGGGUUGGGCAUAGUUCGAACGUUGCUUCUUUGUAAUGACAAGGGAUCGUAUUAAGUCGAGAGCCUCGCUUAAAGGCGAGGUUUGGCCCGAGAGAAGAGAGCACGUGGAGUACGACGAGAGGGAAACUCCUUGGCCGAACUCACAUGAUGCUGGUUCCGAGGAUUCGGAGCCAGUGUCCGGAGAAGGGUCCGGCUCCGUGAUGGCUGCCAGCGAUACUACUUCCCCCGGCCCUCCCACAAUGGGCCUAAUGGCCGCUGAUAGUCCGGCGAGCUCAGGGAGCCCGUCUUUGGACCUGGCGAUACGCUCCGGAUCUAAGGCCAGAGCAGAGGUUGAGGGCGCGAAUCCUUGGAAGAUCAAGUCUCCUCGGAUAUCAGCGACGUAGUCCAGAUUUCCAAAACCAAUCUGGUGUCCUGGGGCGUAGCUGUCGAUCUGCUCUAGAUGGCCAAGCGAGUUGGCCCGCAGUGCGAAGCCGCCAAACACAAAGAUCAGGCCGGGGAGGAAAGCCUCCCCCAAGGCAGCGUUGUUUUAGAUGAUUGAUGGAGCCAUCGAACCUUUUGGUGACGACGCAGCGGAACUCUCAAUGAAAGCACCAAUGUCGGUGUCAAGACUGGUGGAUCUCAGGUAGGGGGUCCCCAACUGUGCGUCUAAGGUCAAUGGUAACACGAGACGGGGGACACGAUGUUUCCCCAGGUUCGGGCCCUCUCUAUGGAGGUAGUACCCUACUUCCUGCUUGAUUGAUCUUGAUGAAUAUGAGUAUUACAAGAGUUGAUCUACCACGAGAUCGUAAUGGCUAAAACCCUAGAAGUCUAGCCUAUAUGAUUAUGAUUGCCUCUACGGACUAAACCCUCCAGUUUAUAUAGACACCGGAGGGGACUAGGGUUGUACAAAGUCGGUUACAGAGAAAGGAAUCUUCAUAUCCGAACGCCAAGCUUGUCGUCCACGCCAAGGAGAGUCCCAUCCGGACACGGGAGAAAGUCUUUUGUCUCGUACCUUCACGGCCCAUCAGUCCGGCCCACGUUACAUAGUCCGGACGCCCGAGGACCCCUUAAUCCAGGACUCCCUCACCCUCCGUGGUGAUGGGUUGUGGGGGAUGGAUCUGAGGUCCCUGCCCAGAUCCGGUGGAUGGUGGGGUUGGUGUUGGCAGCGGUGGCUGGCGGCCCAGGCGCGGUGGCGGCGAGUCUCGCGGCCUCUGGGCAUCGUGGAGGUGCCGGCGGCGGUGAGUGCUUAGCCUGGUGGUGGCGGCGGCCGUGCACGGGAGUUGGAUUCCUUCGAAUAGAUCUGGGUGAAAACUUGCUUUCGGCUAUUGCCAAGGCCGGCGGUGGCGGCGUUAUCUGCAUCGCUCCCUUCUUGAAGGCAUCGCCGUGGAGAAGUUCAAGGCCACUCUCUGCUACCUCUGAGGAAAACCCUAGAUCGGAUGAUCGGAUGACGGCGGCGAUCUAGUGUCGUUCCCCCUUUGGGCGUCAUUCUUGGAGGUGCACACGUGAUCGAGGGACUAGAGGAUGGAUUCUUUGGUGGACGGUGCUUCAUCUCACUCAUGAUGGCGGCGGAUCUCGGCGGCAUGGCGCUAUGGUGACUCGGCGUCCGAUGCGCGGAGAUGGACUCGCGCAGGAGGGUGACGCGGUCUGGCGUCGUGGUGGCAUCGACGGCAGCUAGACCGGACAAGGUAGAUGCAGCAGUAUAGUUCAGAAGAUGGAUUGGUGGCAGGUGGCUGCGGCGGCCUCAUACCCGGCAGGCGUCCUGGUUGAGGAGUGCGACGGAUGCCCCAUACCCGGCAAGCGUCCUGGAUGGGACCUCAGGUCUUAGAUGGUAGGUUUGGCUGCGAGGUAUGUUUGGUAUUAAGCCCAGACUAUCCGCAUCCCUUCAUCAAUUGGAUAGGAGUAGCGACAGAUGUUGCCUAGAUGGUGGCUUUAGUCUUACUGUUGUACUUGCUUUGUAAGGUCUUGUGUGAAUAAUUAAUAAAAUGGAUGCAUGCAUCGUUCAGAUGCAGAGGCCGGGGGUCUUCCUCCAUUUCUAAAAAAACCCUUGAGAUAUUCUAGCGGUGCCACAAUCUCGUUUCUCCAAACCCGAUGAACGCCUGCUAAUUUGUCCAUGUCGCAAAAGGCUACAGAAUGAAGAUGACUAACUUAUACGAGCAAAGUCACCCUCGAAUGAACGUUUUUUUAUUGAGGGAACGUGCCCCUGCAACGCAACUAGGAUCAGAUCGCACGAGGCGAUCAGGAGGCGACGAGGACCUUGCGCGCCGCCGGUGACGCCUCCGGUUCCCUCUCUCUCUGUCGGCCGCUCCGGCGGCGGGAGGGAGAGGGAACCUCGGGUCUGUUUGCUAGGUGGGUGUGUGGUAGGGUUAGGGUUGAGGAAGACGCUACCGAGGCCGUUGCGGUGGUGUCGCGUCGGAAUAAGUUUCUCCGGGCUCCGUUCGCGGUCAGGCGAGGCUUUUGCCUUCGACUAGGAGUCAGCGGGGUUGGGGAUCCCCGGGUCUCGUCGAGGUCGCGGGCUUUGGUGGCUGGAGGUCCAUCGGCACUGGCCGUUUGGGUCCUCAGAUGGGCGAUGGAUUCAGGGAGACAAAGAUCCUUCUUUUUCCCUGUUGGUAUUAUUUGCUGAUGUUGUUCUUCUCCUUCCUCUGUGCUGAUGCUGGUGGGAGAUCCUGCUUUGUCCGGACGGAUGGCCUGGUCGCCGUGCUGGACCUGUCGGAUGACUCGAGUUCUCUUCCCUCCGGAAGGGACACUUUUCGCGGUACUCAAAGCCAAAGAUGGCGACGGCUAUUGCACGUGUGUUGGAUUGAUGUCCAUGCCCUCUCAGCGCUGGUGUCAAGAAAAGAGGAAGCAACGUAGCGGCAAUUGUACCAUGGUCGAAGAUGAUGACCUGCUUGCGACUGGUUGCAGAUCCUUCUGCUGCAGGGGUCUUCUCUCAAGAUUCAGGGAUGAUGACACAGGGCUCCGGAGAUCUUUUUGUGUUAUAGUUGUCUUAGGGUACUCUAGGUGUUCAUGGUCCUUUGUGUUUGCGUUUCAGUGUGCUUGUAAGGGUCAACUUCUUUGUACUGAUUCGUGAUAUGAAUGAAAAAAUUCUAAAAAAAAAAGCCACCCCCGAAUGGGCCAUCCAAUGGACCGACCCAAUAGACUGCCCUAUCGACGUCUGGGUUACGCAAGACAGGUCCAAGGCCAGACCAGGCCGACCUAUUUCCAUAUUUACUGAACAGGGGUAUGAUUUUCAAUCCAUGCAUAUUUUCAUGGACAGGAAAUGAACAUCCAUUAGGCGUAAAUAUGAAUUUGAUAUUACUCGACCAUGUAUACCUGACCCAUUGCCACUCCGAUGAAAAACACUAGCUGCAAAAAAAAAAAAUCAAUCUCCUCUCCCCUCCAUUGCAGCCAUCGCUCCAGUGUCGUAAGGCGGAGGGGCGUCGAUUCCUUUCUCGGUGGUGCUUGGUGUGGUGUUGCUAAGGAGCCCGAAAGAUUUUAUCCUUGUUGUUCUUCAUGGAUAACGGGUUGGUUAUGUGUGCCUACAUGGCUACAUCGACAGGGUUCCAUGUGCAUCCGUGACUUCGACAACCUCUGACUUCAAACUUUUGCGAUGACGAUAGCCUCCUCCUCCUACUGUCGUUACACUAUAUAUAGUUGCUCCGAUCUUGUAUGGAUUGAUCCAAUGUAAAUUUAAUUUAAUUUCUGGAAAAACUGACACGUUAGUACCAUCCUUUAAUACUAAAAAUAUGUUUGGCCUAUUUUCUUCCUUUUUCAUUCCAUGCCGACACUUUCAGCUUUCAUUUUCCGAAGCAAACAUGACAGACUUUUGCUAGCGGAAAGAACGUGUUUCAGGGACUGUGUAUCCCCCGUGUGUCGUCGCUUCUACCUUGAGAACAAGCUGAGACGUGGCAUCCCGGACGCGUCCAGUAGCUGCACACGUCCGGCCUCUCUUAAUUGGCGAGUCACUAGUCACCGGCUCCCACCGGCCAACCCACUCAUGCAAGCACACGUAGCGCCUCCGGCGAUCCUAUCCCCUCGCCGCAAACGGCUUAUAAAUUGCGCCUCGUGCUGGACCUGCUUCCGCAACCACGAGCUGCAGACUAACUGAGGAAGACAACACACCAGAUUUCUGAGAUAAUCAAGAUCAACACCUGUGCAACAUGGAGCACGGCCAGGCGACGACUAACCGCGUCGACGAGUACGGCAACCCGGUGGCCGGACAUGGCGUCGGCACCGGCGCCGGCGCGGCUCACAAGACCGGAGGGAUCCUGCAGCGCUCCGGCAGCUCUAGUAGCUCCAGCUCGGUGCGUGUACAUAUACUUGUUGCUUCUUGCUAACACUAGUUGUAAUUUUUGCAUUUUUCUCGUGUACAUUUUGUAUGAAACAAUAAAUCAAUUGUCUGAUUUUUCUUCUUCCUGGUGCUAGUCUGAGGAUGAUGGCAUGGGUGGGAGGAGGAAGAAGGGCAUCAAGCAGAAGAUAAAGGAGAAGCUCCCUGGUGACCACGGUGACCAGCAGCAGACCGCUGGCACCUACGGCCAGCAGGGACACACCGGAAUGACCGGCACUGGGGCGCAUGGCACCACGGCCACUGGCGGCACCUACGGCCAGCAGGGACACGCCGGAAUGACCGGCACUGGGACGCACGGCACCGAUGGCACCGGCGAGAAGAAAGGCAUCAUGGACAAGAUCAAGGAGAAGCUUCCCGGACAGCACUGAGGCCCCCGCCCGCGGCCGCUACUUAUGAAAGUUUGAGGUGCCGGUCUGGCCACCUCUGCAGAAUAAUAGGAUGGAGAGAUACAGUUGAACUUCCCGAAAUAGAGUGAGCUACCUCACUUGUAAUAUCUGAGUUCUAAGUUUGGUGGACUUGAAUUUGGGUUGCUUGUAUGUAGCCGGGACGUUUUGUACUAUGUACUUUGAUGUGUAAAUUUUCUUUUGGUUGUACUGUGUGUGUAUGGGGAUGUAUAUCAUGGUAUAAUACAAUAUAUUUUUCCCUUUUACUUGAGCUUUCUUUGUUAUUGCAUUUUUCUAAAUUUUGUCAAUAUUGUACAUAGCAUUGGAAAAUGUUUAAGAGAGUUUGGAGCAUUCUAGGCUAUUUUUGAAAAUUUUGGAAGUAUCGAAAAAUAAGGCACACCAAAAAUACACAUAGAGAUCUUCAUUUUACUAACUCAGAGGAUGUCGCAUGCGCUGUGGAUCGUUGAUGAACGGCACUGUCGGAGAUCAACAAAACAGAGUGCAUAGCGACCAAAAAAAAAUUCCCCACCAACGAAAGUUUUCUUCUAUGCUCGAGCUCACAGGCACACUGAUGAAUAGUACUCCUUCCGUAAACUAAUAUAAGAGCGUUUAGAUCACUAAUUUAGUAAUCUAAACGCUCUUAUAUUAGUUUAGUGAUCUAAACGCUCUUGUAUUAGUUUACGGAGGGAGUAAAAUAUAAAAGAAAUUAAAAAAUUCUGAUUUUUUUUACACGCUGAUGAAUGUUUUACCUACAUGUAAAAACUCAUAAUGGAAUGAUAUUUCUGGAGGUCAGGGCAAUAAAAAUAAAAUCGAUGCUCUAAAAUUAGCCUUUUUGGAUCAUUUGAUUUUUUUACCAGACCCUAAUGAAAGUGAUUUCAUCACGAAAAAUUGCAUACAUGCAAAACAGUUAUCAAUGUUUAUUAAACACGACAAGAUUGUUUCAAUUUUUUAUUUUACUGUUCAUACGGAUGCAUAUAAGCUCGAGAUUAGAAGCUCCAUGUCCUUUUCAAAGACGGUGUGGCACCGUUGAAUACGGUCGCAUUGCGAUGCUUCCAUUCAAGAAUAACAACUGAUCCAGUAAUUCCCUAAAAUUAAGAUUAUGCAUCUCCAUAAUUUCAUCCACUAUACCUGACCCAUUGCUACUCGGAUGAAAAACACUAGCUGCAAAAAAAAGAUCAAUCUCCUCUCCUCUGCGUUGCAGCCAUCGAUCCAGUGUCGUGAGGUGGAGGGGGAUCCAUUCCUUUCUCGGUGGUGCUUGGUGUGUUAUCCCUGUUGUUCUUCAUGGGGUUGGUUAUGUGUGCCUACAUCGACGGGGUUCCAUGUGCAUCGGUGACUUCGACAACCUCUUACUUCGACCUUUUCCGAUGAUGAUAACACCCCCCCCCCCCCUUCCCGCUUAUAUGCUUAGCGUGGUUGCCAAUCUCUGUUGUACGCUUGCUAUUGCGGUGACGCAAAUGAGAUUUGUUUCUCUAUAGGCCUUUACUAGUAUUUCAGUGGUUCAAUUUCUCAAUGUUGUCCGUUGUCGUCGUGGCUAUGGUGAUGCAACAACGACAAACUCAGCCACGGCUUUGGCAAGAAUUUUGAGGCAUAUAGCCAUAUUCCAUAUCGUUACCAUAUAUAUGGUUGUAUCCAAUCAUGCAUUGAUUGAUCCAACGUAAAUUUAAUUUAAAUUCUGGCAAAACUGACACGUUAGUACCAUCCUUUAAUAAUGAAAAUAUGGUUGGCCUAUUUUCUUUCUUUUUCGUUUCAUGCCGACACUUCCGGCUUUCAUUUUCCGAAGCAAACAUGACAGACUUUUGCUAGAGGAAAGAACGUGUUUCAGGGACUGUAUCCCCCGUGUGUUGUCGCUUCUACCUCGAGAAUGUUAGAAGGGAGAGAGAGGUUUGGUGGAAUUGUUCGUUGUAUUGCUUGAGCCUCGUGGGCAUAUAUAUAUAUAUAUAGGAGUACAAAGACCAACUUGGAGUAUAGACAAGGCAGGACCAAAUCCUAGUCUAUCCUAUACUUCCUAAUAACCCUUAUACUCAANNNNNNNNNNNNNNNNNNNNNNNNNNNNNNNNNNNNNNNNNNNNNNNNNNNNNNNNNNNNNNNNNNNNNNNNNNNNNNNNNNNNNNNNNNNNNNNNNNNNNNNNNNNNNNNNNNNNNNNNNNNNNNNNNNNNNNNNNNNNNNNNNNNNNNNNNNNNNNNNNNNNNNNNNNNNNNNNNNNNNNNNNNNNNNNGUCGUAACGGUUGAUGCAUCGCGGGGUCGUGGCUGGAGUGAAAACCAACGAGAUUGCUCAAGCAAGGCGGUAGUCCUUUGUGUCAUUGUCGAGGUAGCCGAGAGCGUGGGUGGUGGUGCCGUGGUCGAGGUAGCCGUGCGAAGAAUGCCUUGGUCGAUGUCGAGUCGGGGUGGCCGGUGUCGAGGAAGUCGCCGUGGAGCCGUAGGCGCAAGGAGGCGUCGAGUUAGUCAUAGGCGCAGAAGUGUCGAAGUAGUGGUGCGCCGGGAAGAAGAUGUUGUUGACGACGCGUCGCGCCAGGGUUGCCAACCCCGGGGACACAUCGUAGACGAAGGCACGCGUCGGUGUUGCCAGCACCCGGCAUGCGUAGAUGGACGAAGACGAAGUUGACGAAGCGCCGCACCAGGCUUGCCAGGCCCGGGGACACUUAAGGAAAUAUGCCCUAGAGGCAAUAAUAAAGUUAUUAUUUAUUUCCUCAUAUCAUGAUAGAUGUUUAUUAUUCAUGCUAGAAUUGUAUUACCCGGAAACAUAAUAGAUGUGUGAAUACAUAGACAAACAUAGUGUCACUAGUAUGCCUCUACUUAACUAGCUCGUUGAUGAAAGAUGGUUGAGUUUCCUAGCCAUAGACAUGAGUUGUCAUUUGAUUAACGGUAUCACAUCAUUAGGAGAAUGAUGUGAUUAACCUGACCCAUUUCGUUAGCUUAGCACUUGAUCGUUUAGUUUACUGCUAUUGCUUUCUUCAUGACUUAUACAUGUUCCUAUGACUAUGAGAUUAUGCAACUCCCGAAUACCGGAGGAACACUUUGUGUGCUACCAAACGUCACAACGUAACUGGGUGAUUAUAAAGGUGCUCUACAGGUGUCUCCGAUGGUGUUUGUUGAGUUGGCAUAGAUCCAGAAUAGGAUUUGUCACUCCGAUUGUCGGAGAGGUAUAUCUGGGCCCUCUCGGUAAUGCACAUCACUAUACGCCUUGCAAGCAUUGUAACUAAUGAGUUAGUUGCGGGAUGAUGUAUUACGGAACGAGUAAAGAGACUUGCCGGUAACGAGAUUGAACUAGGUAUUGAGAUACCGACGAUCGAAUCUCGGGCAAGUAACAUACCCAUGACAAAGGGAACAACGUAUGUUGUUAUGCGGUUUGACCGAUAAAGAUCUUCGUAGAAUAUGUGGGAGCCAAUAUGAGCAUCCAGGUUCCGCUAUUGGUUAUCGGCCGGAGACGUGUCUCGGUCAUGUCUACAUAGUUCUCGAACCCGUAGGGUCCACACGCUUAAUGUUCGGUGACGAUCGGUAAUAUGAGUUUAUGUGUUUUGAUGUACCAAAGUUAGUUCGGAGUCCCGGAUGAAAUCUGGGACAUGACGAGGAGUCUCGAAAUGGUCGAGACAUAAAGAUCGAUAUAUUGGACGACUAUGUUCGGACACCGAAAGUGUUUCAGGAGGUUUCGGACAUAUACCGGAGUACCGAGGGGUUACCGGAACCCCCCGGGGAGUAUAUUGGGCGUAAGGGGCCCUAGUGGGAGAAGAGGAGGGGCGGCCAUGGCAGCCGCGCGGCCCCUCCCCCUCUAGUCCGAAUUGGACAAGGAGGGGGCGCCCCUUUCCUUCUCUCCUUCUCUCCCUUCCUUCUCCUCUCCUACUCCUACUUGGAAGGGGGGAGUCCUACUCCCGGUGGGAGUAGGACUCCUCAUGGGGCGCGCCAUAGGAGGCCGGCCCCCUCCCCCUCCUCCACUCCUUUAUAUACGGGGAGGGGGCACCCCUUUUGGAGACACAACAAUUGAUCAUUGAUCUCUUAGCCGUGUGCGGUGCCCCCCUCCACCAUAAUCCACCUCAGUAAUAUCAUAGCGGUCCUUAGGCGAAGCCCUGUGUUGGUAGCAUCAUCAUCACCGUCAUCACGCCGUCGUGCUGACGAAACUCUCCGGCGAAGCUCUACUGGAUCGUGAGUUCGCGGGACGUCUCCGAGCUGAACGUGUGCAGAACACGGAGGUGACGUACGUUCGGUACUGAGGAUCGGUCGAUCGUGAAGACGUACGACUACAUCAACUGCGUUGUCAUAACGCUUUCGCUUUCGGUCUACGAGGGUACGUGGACACACUCUCCCCUCUCGUUGCUAUGCAUCACCACGAUCUUGCGUGUGCUUAGGAUUUUUUUUGAAAUUACUACGUUCCCCAACAGUGGCAUCCGAGCCAGGUUUAUGGGUAGAUGUUAUAUGCACGAGUAGAACACAAGUGAGUUGUGGGCGAUACAAGUCAUACUGCUUACCAGCAUGUCAUACUUUGGUUCGGCGGUAUUGUUGGAUGAAGCGGCCCGGACCGACAUUAUGUGUACGCUUACGCAAGACUGGUUCUACCGACGUACUUUGCACACAGGUGGCUGGCGGGUGUCAGUUUCUCCAACUUUAGUUGAACCGAGUUUGACUACGCCCGGUCCUUGUUGAAGGUUAAAACAGCACUAACUUGACAAAAUAUCAUUAUGGUUUUGAUGCGUAGGUAAGAACGGUUCUUGCUCAGCCCGUAGCAGCCACGUAAAACUUGCAACAACAAAGUAGAGGACGUCUAACUUGUUUUUGCAGGGCAUAUUGUGAUGUGAUAUGGUCAAGGCAUGAUGCUAUAUUUUAUUGUAUGAGAUGAUCAUGUUUUGUAACGGAGUUAUCGGCAACUAGCAGGAGCCAUAUAGUUGUCGCUUUAUUGUAUGCAAUGCAAUUGCCCUGUAAUUGCUUUACUCUAUCACUAAGCGGUAGCACUAGUCGUAGAAGCAAUAGUUGGCGAGACGACAACGAUGCUACGAUGGAGAUCAAGGUGUCGCGCCGGUGAUGAUGGUGAUCAUAACGGUGCUUUGGAGGUGGAGAUCAAAGGCACAAGAUGAUGAUGGCCAUAUCAUAUCACUUAUAUUGAUUGCAUGUGAUGUUUAUCCUUUAUGCAUCUUAUUCUGCUUUGAUUGGCGUGAGCAUUAUAAGAUGAUCUCUCACUAAAUUUCAAGGUACAAGUGUUCUCCCUGAGUAUGCACCGUUGCCAAAGUUCGUCGUGCCGAGACACCACGUGAUGAUCGGGUGUGAUAAGCUCUACGUUCGCAUACAACGGGUGCAAGCCAGUUUUGCACACGCAGAAAUAGUCGGGUUAAACUUGACGAGCCUAGCAUAUGCAGAUAUGGCCUCGGAACACUGAGACCGAAAGGUCGAGCGUGAAUCAUAUAGUAGAUAUGAUCAACAUAGUGAUGUCACCAUUGAAAACUACUCCAUUUCACGUGAUGAUCGGACAUGGUUUAGUUGAUUUGGAUCACGUGAUCACUUAGAUGAUUAGAGGGAUGUCCAUCUAAGUGGGAGUUCUUAAGUAAUAUGAUUAAUUGAACUUUAAUUUAUCAUGAACUUAGUACCUGAUAGUAUUUUGCUUGUCUAUGUUGUUGUAGAUAGAUGGCCCAUGCUGUUGUUCUGUUGAAUUUUAUUGCUAUCCUUGAGAAAGCUAAGUUGAAAGAUGAUGGUAGCAAUUACACGGACUGGGUCCGUAACUUGAGGAUUAUCCUCAUUGCUGCACAGAAGAAUUACGUCCUGGAAGCACCGCUGGGUGCCAGGACUGCUGCAGAUGCUGCUGAUGACGUUAAGAACGUCUGGCAGAGUAAAGCUGAUGACUACUCGAUAGUUUAGUGUGCCAUGCUUUACGGCUUAGAACCGAGACUUCAACGACGUUUUGAACGUCAUGGAGCAUAUGAGAUGUUCCAGGAGUUGAAGUUAAUAUUUCAAGCAAAUGCCCGGAUUGAGAGAUAUGAAGUCUCCAAUAAGUUCUACAGCUGUAAGAUGGAAGAGAAUAGUUCUGUCAGUGAACAUAUACUCAAAAUGUCUGGGUAUAAUAAUCACUUGAUUCAACUGGGAGUUAAUCUUCCGGAUGAUAGUGUCAUUGACAGAAUUCUUCAAUCACUGCCACCAAGCUACAAGAGCUUUGUGAUGAACUAUAAUAUGCAAUGAAUGGAUAAGACAAUUCCCGAGCUCUUCGCGAUGCUAAAGGCUGCGGAGGUAGAAAUCAAGAAGGAGCAUCAAGUGUUGAUGGUCAACAAGACCACCAGUUUCAAGAAAAAGGGUAAAGGGAAGAAGAAGGGGAACUUCAAGAAGAACGGCAAACAAGUUGCUGCUCAGGAGAAGAAACCCAAGUCUGGACCUAAGCCUGAGACUGAGUGCUUCUACUGCAAAAAGACUGGUCACUAGAAGCGGAACUGCCCCAAGUAUUUGGCGGAUAAGAAGGAUGGCCAGGUGAACAAAGGUAUAUGUGAUAUACAUGUUAUUGAUGUGUACCUUACUAAAGCUCGCAGUAGCACCUGGGUAUUUGAUACUGGUUAUGUUGCUAAUAUUUGCAACUCGAAACAGGGACUACGGAUUAAGCGAAGAUUGGCUAAGGACGAGGUGACGAUGCGCGUGGGAAAUGGUUCCAAAGUCGAUGUGAUCGCCGUCGGCACGCUACCUCUACAUCUACCUUCGGGAUUAGUUUUAGACCUGAAUAAUUGUUAUUUGGUGCCAGCGUUGAGCAUGAACAUUAUAUCUGGAUCUUGUUUGAUGCGAGAUGGUUAUUCAUUUAAAUCUGAGAAUAAUGGUUGUUCUAUUUAUAUGAGUAAUAUCUUUUAUGGUCAUGCACCCAUGAAGAGUGGUCUAUUUUUGUUGAAUCUCGAUAGUAGUGAUACACAUAUUUAUAAUGUUGAAGCCAUAAGAUGCAGAGUUGAUAAUGAUAGUGCAACUUAUUUGUGGCACUGUCGUUUGGGUCAUAUUGGUGUAAAACGCAUGAAGAAACUCCAUACUGAUGGACUUUUGGAAUCACUUGAUUUUAAAUCACUUAGUACUUGCGAACCAUGCCUUGUGGGCAAGAUGACUAAAACGCCGUUCUCUGGAACAAUGGAGCCAGCAACAGAUUUGUUGGAAAUCAUACAUACUGGUGUAUGUGGUCCGAUGAAUAUUGAGGCUCGCGGCGGGUAUCGUUAUUUUCUCACCUUCACAGAUGAUUUGAGCAGAUAUGGGUAUAUCUACUUAACGAAACAUAAGUCUGAAACAUUUGAAAAGUUCAAAGAAUUUCAGAGUAAAGUGGAAAAUCAUCGUAACAAGAAAAUAAAGUUUUUACGAUCUAAUCGUGGAGGAGAAUAUUUGAGUUACGAGUUUGGUCUUCAUUUGAAACAACGCGGAAUAGUUUCACAACUCACGCCACCCGGAACACCACAACGUAAUGGUGUGUCCAAACGUCGUAAUCGUACUUUACUAGAUAUGGUGCGAUCUAUGAUGUCUCUUACUGAUUUACCGCUAUCGUUUUGGGGUUAUGCUUUAGAGACGGCUGCAUUCACGUUAAAUAGGGCACCAUCGAAAUCCGUUGAGAGGACGCCUUAUGAACUGUGGUUUGGCAAGAAACCAAAGUUGUCGUUUCUUAAAGUUUGGGGCUGUGAUGCUUAUGUGAAAAAGCUUCAACCUGGUAAGCUCGAACCCAAAUCGGAGAAAUGUGUCUUCAUAGGAUACCCAAAGGAAACUGUUGGGUACACCUUCUAUCCUUUCUAGAGAAGGAUUUUCUCUUGAAAGAAGUGAGUGGGAGGAAAGUAGAACUUGAUGAGGUAACUGUACCUGCUCCCUUAUUUGGAAGUAGUUCAUCACAGAAACCGGUUUCUGUGACACCUACACCAAUUAGUGAGGAAGCUAAUGAUAUUGAUCAUGUAACUUCAGAUCAAGUUACUACCAAACCUCGUAGUACAAUCAUAGUAAGAUCCACACCAGAAUGGUACGGUAAUCCUAUUCUGGAAGUCAUGUUACUUGACCAUGGCGAACCUACGAACUCUAAAGAAGCGAUGGUGAGCCCAGAUUCCGCAAAAUGGCUUGAGGCCCUGAAAUCUCAGAUGGGAUCCAUGUAUGAGAACAAAGUGUGGACUCUGGUUGACUUGCCCGAUGAUCGGCAAGCCAUAGAGAAUAAAUGGAUUUUCAAGAAGAAGACUGACGCUGAUGGUAAUGUUACUGUCUACAAAGCUCGACUUGUUGCAAAAGGUUUUCGACAAGUUCAAGGGGUUGACUACGAUGAGCUUUCUCAGCCGUAGCGAUGCUUAAGUCUGUCCGAAUCAUGUUAGCAAUUGCCGCAUUUUAUGAUUAUGAAAUUUGGCAAAUGGAUGUCAAAACUGCAUUCCUGAAUGGAUUUCUGGAAGAAGAGCUGUAUAUGAUGCAACCAGAAGGUUUUGUUGAUCCAAAGGGUGCUAACAAAGUGUGCAAGCUCCAGCGAUCCAUUUAUGGACUGGUGCAAGCCUCUCGGAGUUGGAAUAAACGUUUUGAUAGUGUGAUCAAAGCAUAUGGUUUUAUACAGACUUUUGGAGAAGCCUGUAUUUACAAGAAAGUGAGUGGGAGCUCUAUAGCAUUUCUAAUAUUAUAUGUGGAUGACAUAUUGUUGAUUGGAAAUGAUAUAGAAUUUCUGGAUAGCAUAAAAGGAUACUUGAAUAAGAGUUUUUCAAAGAAAGACCUUGGUGAAGCUGCUUAUAUAUUGGGCAUCAAGAUCUAUAGAGAUAGAUCAAGACGCUUAAUUAGACUUUCACAAAGCACAUAUCUUGAUAAAGUUUUGAAAACGUUCAAAAUGGAUCAAGCAAAGAAAGGGUUCUUGCCUGUGUUACAAGGUGUUAAGUUAAGUCAGACUCAAUGCCCGACCACUGCAGAAGAUAGAGAGAAAAUGAAAAGUGUUCCCUAUGCUUCAGCCAUAGGCUUUAUCAUGUAUGCAAUGCUGUGUACCAGACCUGAUGUGAGCCUUGCUAUUAGUUUAGCAGGGAGCUACCAAAGUAAUCCAUGAGUGGAUCACUGGACAGCGGUCAAGAACGUCCUGAAAUACCUGAAAAGGACUAAGGAUAUGUUUCUCGUUUAUGGAGGUGACAAAGAGCUCGUCGUAAAUGGUUACGUCGAUGCAAGCUUUGGCACUGAUCCGGACGAUUCUUAAUCGCAAACCGGAUACAUGUUUUUAUUGAACGGUGGAGCUGUCAGUUGGUGCAGUUCUAAACAAAGUGUCGUGGCGGGAUCUACUUGUGAAGCAGAGUACAUAGCUGCUUCGGAAGCAGCAAAUGAAGGAGUCUGGAUGAAGGAGUUCAUAUCCGAUCUAGGUGUCAUACCUAGUGCAUUGGGUCCAAUGAAAAUAUUUUUGCGACAAUACUGGUGCAAUUGCCUUGGCAAAGGAAUCCAGAUUUCACAAGAGAACCAAGCACAUCAAGAGACGCUUCAAUUCCAUCCGAGAUCCAGUCCCGGUGGGAGACAUAGAGAUUUGCAAGAUACAUACAGAUCUGAAUGUUGCAGACCCUGAUUAAGCCUCUUCCACGAGCAAAACAUGAUCAGCACCAAGACUCCAUGGGUGUUAGAAUCAUUACUGUGUAAUCUAGAUUAUUGACUCUAGUGCAAGUGGGAGACUGAAGGAAAUAUGCCCUAGAGGCAAUAAUAAAUUUAUUAUUUAUUUCCUCAUAUCAUGAUAAAUGUUUAUUAUUCAUGCUAGAAUUGUAUUAACCGGAAACAUAAUACAUGUGUGAAUACACAGACAAACAUAGUGUCACUAGUAUGCCUCUACUUAACUAGCUCGUUGAUCAAAGAUGGUUGAGUUUCCUAGCCAUAGACAUGAGUUAUCAUUUGAUUAACGGGAUCACAUCAUUAGGAGAAUGAUGUGAUUGACUUGACCCAUUUCGUUAGCUUAGCACUUGAUCGUUUCGUUUACUGCUAUUGCUUUCUCCAUGACUUAUACAUGUUCCUAUGACUAUGAGAUUAUGCAACUCCCGAAUACCGGCGGAACACAUUGUGUGCUACCAGACGUCACAAAGUAACUGGGUGAUUAUAAAGGUGCUCUACAGGUGUCUCCGAUGAUGUUUGUUGAGUUGGCAUAGAUCAAGAAUAGGAUUUGUCACUCCGAUUGUUGGAGAGGUAUCUCUGGGCCCUCUCAGUAAUGCACAUCACUAGAAGUCUUGCAAGCAAUGUGACUAAUGAGUUAGUCACGGGAUGAUGUUGCACUACGGAACGAGUAAAGAGACUUGCCGGUAACGAGAUUGAGCUGGGUAUUGAGAUACCGACGAUCGAAUCUCGGGCAAGUAACAUACCGAUGACAAAGGGAACAAUGUAUGUUGUUAUGCGGUUUGACCGAUAAAGAUCUUCGUAGAAUAUGUAGGAACCAAUAAGAGCAUCCAGGUUCCACUAUUGGUUAUUGACCGAAGACAUGUCUCGGUCAUGUCUACAUAGUUCUCGAACCCGUAGGGCCUGAACGCUUAAUGUUCGGUGACGAUCGGUAUUAUAAGUUUAUGUGUUUUGAUGUACCGAAGGUAGUUCGGAGUCCCGGAUAUGAUCACGGACAUGACGAGGAGUCUCGAAAUGGUCGAGACGUAAAUACCGAUAUAUUGGACGACUAUGUUCGGACACCGGAAGUGUUUCCGGAGGUUUCGGACAUAUACGGGAGUACCGGGGGGUUACCGAAACCCCCCGGGGAGUAUAUUGGGCGUAAUGGGCCCUAGUGGGAGAAGAGGAGGGGCGGCCAGGGCAGCCGCGCGCUCCCUCCCCCUCUAGUCCGAAUUGGACAAGGAGGGGGGCGCCCCCUUUCCUUCUCUCCUUCUCUCCCUUCCUUCUCCUCUCCUACUCCUACUUGGAUGGACCGGGAGUAGGACUCCUCAUGGGGCGCGCCAUAGGAGGCCGGCCCCCUCCCCCUCCUCCACUCCUUUAUAUACGGGGAGGGGGCACCCCUUGGAGACACAACAAUUGAUCAUUGAUCUCUUAGCCGUGUGCGGUGCCCCCCUCCACCAUAAUCCACCUCGGUAAUAUCGUAGCGGUGCUUAGGCGAAGCCCUGCGUCGGUAGCAUCAUCAUCACCGUCAUCACGUCGUCGUGCUGACGAAACUCUCCGACAAAGCUCUACUGGAUCGUGAGUUCGCGGGACGUCUCUGAGCUGAACGUGUGCAGAACACGGAGGUGUCGUACGUUCGAUACUGAGGAUCGGUCGAUCGUGAAGACGUACGACUACAUCAACCGCGUUGCCAUAACGCUUCCACUUUCGGUCUACGAGGGUACGUGGACACACUCUCCCCUCUCGUUGCUAUGCAUCACCAUGAUCUUGCAUGUGCGUAGGAAAUUUUUUGAAAUUACUACGUUCCCCAACAGACACGUCGUGGAUGAAGGCAGGCGGCGGUGUUGCCAGCAUCGGGCAUGCGUAGACUGGGACCUGCACGAGCUGUACGCGAUGUCGAAGAAGUCGAAGAGGCCAGCAGAGAAGGACUCGACGACGGUUGCGGCGCCAAUCAGCACGGGGCCGAUGUCGCCCGCGGUUGUCGGAGUAGACGAAGUGGUCGGGGUAGAUGACGGCGACGCUGGCGACGGGCUGGUGCUGGACGAAGAGUAAGGGGGUGGACGGGCGACUGCGGCGGCUACAGGGAUAGCAGCGGCGGCGACGGCUAGGUUAGGAGCGCGGCGGCGGUGCUCGAAGUAGGCGAAGAACCCUGACAACGUGACGAAGACCGGCGGGGACGGUGGCAUUCCCGCGCCAAGGGAGACGGUGCGGCGCAUACCAAGGGAGGUAGACACGCGGUGACGGUGGAGUGGACCGCGGGCUGCGGCGCUACGGACCGAAGGGGCGAUGCAACGGCGGCGGGCAGGUUGGGGCGACGGCACGAAGACCUCGGGGCGGCGGCGGGGACCGCGGGCCGCGGCGCUACGAGCCGAAGGGACGGUGCAGCGGCGGAGCGUGGGUCGGUGCAAUCGCGGGGACGGCGGCUGGGACCGUGUAUCGCGGCACUACGGCCCGUAGGGGCGACGUAGCGGCGACGCACGAGUCAAUGCAGCCGCGAGGAGAACCACGGGGCGGCGGCGCUGCGGCCCGACGGGGCGACGCAGCGGCAGCCUGUUGCUCGAUCGGCGGAGGGGCGCGCUGAACUCGGGGACAAUCUUCACGGGACCUGCGGAGGCGCGCGCAACUAACGGGUCAGGUUGGUCACGCGGCGUAGAUGAGGCGGAUCGCGGCGGCGAGCGGGUGAUCAAGUUAGUCGCGCGCGAGGUCGGGGACGCCGCUCGAUGGAGGCGUAGUGGCGGCGGAGUCCGGGAUGAGGCCGGCGACGACGGACGGCGUGGGACGUCGUGCGAACGAGUGUGUCGGCACCGGCACCCGGGCAGCCAAAGCAGCGCCGGCGCCCAGGCAGCGAGCCCCGAGCGACCAAUGGUGCAGCGGCGCACGAGUUGAGGCAUCCGACGAGCGUGACGCAGCCGUCCCGACGCAGCCGAAGACGAGGCCGGCGAGGUAGACCGCCGGGCCGCCGUGCAGACGCGGCGGAGGCGGGUGGCGUCGAUCGAUUGGCGGGCCGGCGCGCGAGCGGCGGCUAUGAUUGGCCGUCGCGUGGCGCGAGGCCGCCGGGUGAAGGCGAUGCAGGUGUCCCGGUCGGAGAGGGCGCAAACGGUCGGCGUAGAUUGACGGGCGGGCCAGCGCGUAGACGACGACAGUGAGGGGCCGCCUGUCGCGCGAGGCCGCGGGGUCGGUGAAGGAGCCGGCCGGUCGCGACAGUGUCAGAGUAGAAGCGCAUGGAGGUCGACGGCGGCGGCGGGCGACGCAAACCGGUCAAGUAGAUCGGAAAACCAAAAGGAAAAACGCCGAUCAAAACGACCGGCGAGAGAGCGAAAAAACCCGGAGCAAGGGUUCGGGAAAAAGACUCUUUAGGGCAGCCAGCCAACACGGCCGGCGUACGAACCCUAGGUACGGGCGGCGCGGCCUCCGGCGGCGGUCAUGGCGGCCGACCGCCCCGGAGGCGGCGUGCGGGUGCGGAAGCGGCAGCGGCUAGGUUUUGAAUCAUGAUUAGGCUGAUACCAUGUUAGAACGGAAAGAAGUUUGAUGGAAUUGCUCGUUGUAUUGCUUGAGCCUCGUGGGAGCCAAAUACUAGUCUAUACUCAAUAGAGAACAAGUUGAGUCCGUGGCAACCCGGACGCGUCCAGUAGCUGCACACGUCCGGCCUCCCUUUAUGGGCGAGUCACCACCGGCUCCCGCCGGCCAGCCCACUCAUGCCUGCACACGUAGCGCCCCCGACGAUCCUAUCCCCUCGCCGCAGACGGCUUAUAAAUCGCACCUCGUACUGCACCUGCUUCCACAACCACAAGUUGCAGCCAAGUGAGCAAGACAACACACCAGAUUUCUGAGACAAUCAAGAUCAGCACCUGUGCAAGAUGGAGUACCAGGGACAGCAGCAGCACGGUCAGGCGACUAACCGCGUCGACGAGUACGGUAACCCGGUGGCCGGACAUGGCGUCGGCACCGGCAUGGGCGCGCACGGCGGCGUCGGCACCGGCGCGGCCGCUGGUGGGCAGUUCCAGCCCUCGAGGGAGGAGCACAAGGCCGGAGGGAUCCUGCAGCGCUCCGGCAGCUCUAGUAGCUCCAGCUCGGUGCGUGUUUACGUACUUCUUUCUACUCCGUAAUUAAACUACGUUUCCAUAGUUGCAUGCGUGAAGAUUAUGCAUGAAGAAGCAUUAAUGACUGAUUUUUUUCCCGUUCGUGGUGAUAGUCUGAGGAUGAUGGCAUGGGCGGGAGGAGGAAGAAGGGCAUCAAGGAUAAGAUUAAGGAGAAGCUUCCGGGUAGCCACGGCGACCAGCAGCAGACCGCUGGCACCUACGGGCAGCAAGGUCAUACUGGAACGGCCGGCACCGGCGGCAACUACGGCCAGCCCGGACACACCGGAAUGGCUGGCACCGACGGCACCGGUGAGAAGAAGGGCAUCAUGGACAAGAUCAAGGAGAAGCUGCCCGGACAGCACUGAGCCCCGCCCGCGGCCGCUACUUGUGAAAGUCUGGCCACCUCUGCAGAAUAAUAAGAUGGAGAUACAAUAAAACUUCCCGAAAUAAAGUGAGUUUUAGCUCACUUAUAAUGUCUGAGUUCCGAGUUUUGUGGACUUAAAUAUAGGGGUUUCUUGUAUGUACCGGGAAGUUUCCUACUCUGUACUUUUGACGUGUGAAUUUUCUUUUG
rnacentral:lncRNA from 1 species